rnacentral:lncRNA from 1 species
UUUUUUUUUUUUUGAAAAUGACUCAGAAUCCUCUUGUCCACUAGGGCGAAUAACUCGUUGAUGGAUAGUGUCGGUAGCACAGAAGUCAAAAAAACAUGCAUCAGGUAACUGCUCAGUGAUCCAACCUCACAUACUUGGAGUCUUUGGCUUUGAAAGGAAUGGAUAACCUUAUUUUAUUUGCAUGACACAGGAAGAGGGAGCAAAGGAUUAAAGAAAAGCACAAUAAGGCGAAUUUGAGAUUGAUGUUUUUUUUUUCCAAAAGGACUGCCAAAGCUUUGCCGCAAAUUUAAUUAGAAGAAGAAAUUAAAAUACCGAAGUGGCGGUCCAGAUUUUUGAGAUUGGUGUUAAGAGCUAGAAAGGGGCAUAGUGGAUGGAAUUAGACUCGAUUAAAAUUCUUUUCCCACCAGGGGUGACGAGUGAGUGCGGUGCGUGCGUGUCAUGGUAUGUGUACGGGCUCAACAACCUUUUAAUCAGAAAAAAGGAUCAGUAGAGCAAAAUUCAAUUAUCCGAAUUCAUAUAAUUUUACUUCCAAAGAGAACUCAUACUAGAUGGAUAACCUUAUAUUGUUGGAUGAGACAGUAAAAAAAAUAAAAGUGCACAUGUUAUUUUCUCGCAAGGGUGGCAGGAUUUUUGCCGCAAGUUUUAAGAUGAAACAAAACAAUUUACAACAACAAUAAAAAAGAGCACAUGUUACAUGUUAGAAAUUUGUAAGAUUGAUAGAUGAAAUGAGACAUGUCAUUAUCCUGCUUGGUGCAUAAAUCAUAGAAGUGCACCUAAUAACUGUUGGGAUGAGAGACUGGAAGAUUUAAAAAGCACAAGAAAGUUGUGUCCAUAUAUGAUUGGUGUGUUAGGCAUUAUCAACGGGCCGGGGCGGGGUGAUGAAAGAAAGAAAAUGACUCGAAAUUCUUUUUCCACUGCGAGUGAAGGCUGAAGAACUCAUCGACGACGAAUGGCGCUAUCAGCAGCGCACACGUCACGGAAGUUAAGCUCGCCGAUUGUGCAAGCAACAAAUCGGCAAAAAGGGGGACCCAUGCUGAUGAUCAGCAGGAGAGCCCAUCAUCUGUGAACAAAGUGUACUAGCUUUAAUAUUCAUGUGGACUUCAAUUCAACCACGCAGGCAAAAUGAAAUAGGUGGGAGUACAUAUGGAAACUACACUCUGGAAAGUGUAGAAUGUAGAAUCACGCAAUUAGUGGAGAACAAUAUUUUUUGGUUGCUUAAAUGUAAAGAAAGACGGAGAAUAAUUCGCUGCGAUUAGAUUCUGAAAGAACUUAUGCUGAAACCAAAGCUCCUGAUCUACUGGAGAGUUUGUUUUUUAGAGCAUCAUAUCUACUGGUGACUCUAUAUAACCCACAAAAAAAUGGUUCUUUCCAAUUGAAUCCAAUUAUCUGAAGGAAAAAAAAUAUAUAAUGGGGGCGCAAGAAAACUCCACACCACCAACUGCCAGUUCAUGUUACGUGGUUGUAGUUCAAGAGGAAAGGAGUAGAGGCGUUGCCCGGGAGAAUCCGCAAUGGGGUGACCACAGCCCAUUGUCUGUACGUGUUUGCCUUUUUCAGAACACAUUCAACAAGCAAGUGAGGUGCCGCUUCAAUGAGUGGAGAAGAUUAGAAAGAGACACUUCCCAUCACCAGUUGAAAAACUUGGUCAUUUGCAUCAAGCCUAGAAAGAAGAAGAAGAAGAAGAAGAAGAAGAAGAAGUAAUAUACAUGUAGCAGUAGUAAUUUACAAAAACUUAUUCUAUAUAUGUGUAUAGUACCUAAAUUACAUGAACCAGAAACUGCUAGUAAGUAGCAAGUACACUGGAAAGGUGAUAUCUGUACAACACAUGCUGGAGCAUUCUCUUUGGAAUCUGUCAUCCCAACAACCAAGCCACCACCCACACCCUCUCUACCCUCCCUCCCAAAGAGGAGCUCCUCCACUGCUCAUGCUAUAUACAUGCCACCAAAUCGAUCGACCUCCUAAAAACUAAAAUCAAAUCCUAGCUCCAAGAACAUAAAAGGUAUCAAGAAACGCUCAACUCACAGGCAGUACACUCUGAACAGGAUGAUCGGCCGGUGGCUCGGCGGAGAUCCGGCGAUGGCGCGGCGGCGUGGUGAGAUGAUCGGCCGGUGGAAAGGACGACGACGGAGCGAUCGAUCAUCACCACCAGCCGUACACCACGCGGGAGCACUUGCCCUUGAUCCAGGUGACGCCGCGGCGCACCGACUCCCGGACCUUGCCCUCGACGUCGUAGGUCUUGUACAUCACCAGCCGCUUCCUCCGCUGCAGCUCGGCGUCGUCCAGCGCCGCCGCCUUCUUGGCCGCCGGGACCGCGGUGGCGGUGUCGUCCAGCGCGGCGAAGGACGGGGUGUACCCGCGGAGGUUCACGGACCGGCGGUUGGCGGAGGUCCAGUUGGUGACGCUGCCGGAGCGCUUCAGCUGCCCGCCGCCGCCGCCGCCGUCGGCCGUGAUGGUGGGCCCGUAGGAGGCCGCGUAGGACGCGCUGUAGGACCGCAGGUUCAGACCGGGGGUCGGGCGGGCGCCCCCGCCGCCGGCGGCAACGCUCUUGGUGCUCCCGCUCCGCUGCACCGGCGGCGGCGCCGGGCGCGCCCACGAGCUCACGCUCCGGGCGCGCUUCACCACCCUCGACGACGCCUGCGCCGCCGCCGGCCGCGCGUAGCUGGCGCUGUAGCUCCGGAUAUCCGCCGCGCCGCCGUACACGCUGCCCCUCUCCGCGCACGACACCGACCUCUCCAUUGGCAUCUUUCAAUCUCCCUCUCUCUCUCCUUCUGCUUCUCUCCCUCGGCGAGCUCUGCUCUGCGACAAGCAAGCAAUGGCGAGGCCGGUGGCGCGGGAGGGGGGCGCUUCUUAUGGGCCAGCGGCGAGUGGUGUGUGGGGAUGCUCGGAUCCGCUGCGGGCGCUGUACCGUGAGGGCAGCUGUGGGGCGCUGAGCAACCCGUGCGGUUUUCUCGGCCGUUGGAUCGACGGAUUGACGGGUGGUGUUGAUCCGUCCUUGGAAGCUGUCGGAUAUGGGAAUUGACAGCUGAGAUCGGGUGGGGGGAGCCGCGGCACAAUUUUCUUCCUUGCAUUUAUCGUGAAAUUAAGGCUGUCAAUUUUGGGAUAAAAGAGCUUGAUGUGUGUGUCGUGGCUCAACAGCAAUGGACAAUAGGUUGAUUGUGCUUCAAGCGCGAGAUGUUUGCAACGGUUGGCCAGAUCACUGAUUGAGGGUGGCACAAUUUUGUGCAUCUUUCGAUCAUCAACCGUAAUUGGCGACACACAAAUCCAUAUCUAGUUCACUCGUGUUGUGUUGUCUUAUAGUUGCGCUCAAUUCCGACAUUCACGGGAGGUGUCUUUCUUCUCUUAGUGAUCUUUCAGCCUAUUUGGUUGAUUCACUCAUUUGGUAUGAGAUUUGUUUUGCGGGUCAGAAUACCCAAAAAGAAUGUAUCUCACUUGUCGAAUGGUUAACAAUGGAACGCCAGCGAAGCAAAUAUGAAAACUUAUAAAAAAUUUGCAGGAUUCAGGAUCGUAAGGAGAAAUUAAGAUGCAUGUGGAUUUUAUUAAAACACUAUCAUGUCGCAACAGGAUUCUUGGAAAUUAACCUUAUUUAUAUAUUCUUAUUCCUAUGGUUAUUAUAGUUUAGUCCUACAAAUCAUCGUCAAUAAGAAUGAGGCUUUUAGCUUUUUUAGGUCUUUGAGGGCAUGAGGGUACGGUGUGGUGGUUAGGAGUUUGCUUUCUUUCUUCUCUUGGUAGUCUUUUAGCCUACUUCACUACUUGGAAGCAUGGGAUUUGGUUUUUAUUGGUGAAUUGGUGAAAAGGCCUAAAGAAUGUAUCUCGUCAUGUUUACUAUAUAUCACCACAUCUAGUGCACGUGUUCUGUGAUAAGAUUCAGUGGUUCAUAAAAAAGAAAAGAAAAGGGGAAGGGAACUUUUGACAUGAGCACUUUCAUUUCUGUUUGCAGAUGUGAAUGUAAAAUAUCUCUUCACAGUACUUUGCCUAGUGAAGAUAGCCUCAGAGAAGAAAAGGUUGCCUUAUGUGUUGUGUCGUUGUAAGCUAAAGCGUGACAGAUCUAUUUGAAAGAAAAGGUAUGGAAAAUUUGUCUCAGAACAGUGAAGAAAGCAGAGACAAGACAGUGGUCACAUACCAACCCUUCCUACGCUUCUAAAUGCAAAGCUUCUUGCGACGUCUUCUUUCGAUGUUCGUUUGGCCUACUCAAUGUAUAAACUACAUGAUAAGAUUUAUUUUGUGCUGAAUUCUGAAAGGCUAGUGAAUGCAUGCAUGCAGUACAUGUCCUCUGAUGUAGGGAUCGGAUAGAUCAGAAAAGGGGAAAGGAAAGGAGCUUGGAGCUUUGCAAAAGUGCUUUUAUGAUCUAGCUUGUGAUGUCGUUUUGAGCUACAGAUAGCAAAUUUGAAAACCACAACUGGCGUCAUGUACUGCAAAUUGACAAGCGGCAUGAGUUAUCUUUUCUGAUUUAGAUACAUGAUACUUGCUUUUAGAACCUAUGUGCGUGUAUGAUUUUGUCUCCUGAUAUGAUAACUCGCAACCAACUAAUUAAAUAAGUAUCGUCACCGUUCUGGGGAAACAUCCUUAAAGAUAUUUCAUUUUACGAGGAGAAUGUACGGUGUUCCAUGACGGAUAUUAGAGUUCUUGUGCAUAACCGUUUUGUUUAUAAUUUAUUUUUAAAAAAUUAUUUUUAAAUUACUAAUCCAUCAAUCCGUGCUCCUAUAUGGGCCAAUAAUUGUAAUAGGCAUUUGAUUCUUUUUUUUUUGCGAUGGAGACAUGAGCACUUAACGGGACAUAAGUAUUAGAAUUUUAAAGAUAAAUUUAGGAUCCAUAGCGAUCAAGGUGUUUGGUUUCUUUUAUUUAUUUAUUUUCUAAAACAUACUACUAGAUACUCCUAUUCAUUAAUCUUAUCUGGUUAUGAUAGCCUCUGGUUAUGAAUUAAUCUAUAUAUUUUUUCCACCCCCGUUCAUAUUAUUUUAAUUUACAUCACAUAUUUGAGUAUAUGUUCGACAUCUAUUUAAUUAGAUUUUAGCUUGAGCUAUGUCAACUCAUUGUUACAGCUGACUUCAUCAAUCCAGACUUUAUCUCCUUAAUUUUGGAGCAAUUGGAUAUUGUACUUUGGUUUAUAUCUUCUCAUAAUGAUGGAGGUCCUCUAGAUACAUAUUUAAGGGGCUAUGUUUUGGUAUUUUUAAUAACUGCAAAGCUGGAUAAUUUAGAUACACAUUUAUAGGGUUAAUUUAGGUUAUUUUCCAUGAUGACAAAUGAAGGCAGUUUAAACACAAAAUUAGAGCUUAAGUUGUACCAUUUUCAUAAUUGUAGACAUAAAAAAUUUAGAUAUAAAUUCAGGCCAUUACCGUUGGUUUUUUUCUCCAAAAUCGCAGGUGUAGGUAAUUUAUGGGUUAUUUUAUAUAAUCGCAUAGGUGGGUGAAUUUGAAACGGACUAAAUCUAAUUACUACUAUUGCCAACAAUGAUUAGGUUUAUAAAAUUCAUGUUCAACUGCUUUGCUUUCAUUGGAAUUUCUAGUUUUUUUUUCUAAUGCGUCUCAGAAAAUCAACAUGCAAGAUAUGAAAAGAGUCUCCUAGAAUAAUAACUAGUACUCCACCGUUCCAAAAUGUGUCAAAAUAUAAAUUAUUUUAGUUUUUUUAGAUACAUGUAUGGAGUUGUCUGGAAGUAUUUUUUUUCCUAGGCGAUCAUUUCGUCGAGGAAUUAUUUUUCUCUGAAUUGUUACCGGGUAAAGUUUCGGACGGACGAUGGAAGAAGUAUACAGAUAGUUUCUAUUUCCUUGUUUGAUCCAAGAAGAGGGACCAACAAAGCAAAGAUCAGGCACAACCCCCCACAACAAAGCUAGCUUUUGGCGGCCGGUACACGAGCGGUCGCAUCUCGUCGCAUCGCACUCGGACGUGGUCCAGCUAGCGCUCUGCACGCCGGCCGCCGUCGACACCGGCCACCACCACGCGCGCGCCGGCCGUGGCAGGCAUCGAACACGUACAAAGAAAAGAGAUGCCCGGGCGACGGAAAGCUACCGCGCACGAUGGGUCGGAUUGGAUUCGUGGCCAAGCCUGCGGCGCGGCCUGGGAGCGCGCGACACGUCUCGCCGGCCGGCCGGGCCUGUCACGUAUGUUGGCGUUGGGGCAAAGCGAACAUAUCCCCGUGGCGUGGCACCAUCGAACGUACUGUGUCGUGGCGGAGCCCUAAGCACGCCACCUAUCUUCAAAUCAAAUCGACAAAUCAGAUGAAAUCCGCCUCGUUUUCGCCUACUACGAGCACGAAACCCCAGCCAUUUCAGAGCAUGCUUUCCACCAAAACUUGUGACGUGAUCGAUACGAUAAGAUCCGGCAGGGAGAGAUGCAGACUGUGCACAGUGGCUGGUGCCAGUAGCUUUCGAUGAUCGAUCGAGCCAGCAGCGUACGCCUAAACACGCCUCUGCAUUCCUGCGCUUAAUUUGCGGUUUUGCUUUUUGGCCCUGAAAGCGACGAGAGUCACUGCAAAUUCUCAUCCAUCAUCUCUCUUUUCUUUUCUUCCUCGGCUGAUGGCCACCGAUCCGUCUCGGCUCGGCUGGGCUCGCAGGCCGCCACCCAAUCAGCGGCGCGACGAGCCGCCGUGGAUCCGCAAGCAGAUCAACGCCGGCUAGUCGUGUUGCUCGCGGACAAGCCAAGACCGACGACGACGGCUGGCCUGUCUGUCCUUAUGCUCGGCUGCCGACAUGGGCGACAGGACAAAGCCGGCGACGACGGCAGCCAGCGUGAAAACUGCUCAAUGAUCAGGCAAUCAGUGGGUGGCGUACCCCGCGCGCGUGCAGCCUAAUCGGUCACACCUUCAAUCAGAGGACUUUCUUGUCGACCGACUCCAUCCGAUCGAGUAAACUCACAUCAAUGUAUAUAGUGUCCAUACCAACUACGUUUCCAAUUUGUAUAGCUACUGUUGGGAUGAAAUCAAUUAAAAGCAACCAAUUAAUCUCUCGUCUUCUUGUGAUAAGGACACGAUUGACAUCAUAGAAUAUACAGUAGCGUGGCAUCUUCUACUUAUACUUCACUUAGAAAAAUAUGUUAUAAUAAUGUAUGUUACAAAAUAUGUAAACGGAAAGAUUUGUAAAUAUUAUAAAUUUGAUUAGAGAUAGGGAUGGACAUGAUGAGUUUGCUUGAUUGGCUCCAAAACUUUCCCAGCUAAAAUUGGGAUAAGCUCAGAAAUUUUGGCACUUGUUUGGUUCAAGUCAAAAAAAAUUUGGCUCGCGCAUUCUGGCACUUGAAGUGAUAUUCUUUAGUUCUUCUCAGAUUUUACACAAAAGUUUUAUCAUGCCCACAUUUUGACAUGUCCUAGAUUUGGUAUGGCAAAUUUUGGAACCAGGCUCGAUAUAUAUCCAUCCACGAUAUUUCAUUACCAAAUAACUCAGCUUAUCAAAAUCAUAAAAAAGAGAUAAAUAUUUCAGGAAUUCUCACAAGCGGCUCACCGCCUGGCAUUUUCACAAUCCGUUGAUUAUGUGAGCGCUUGCUGGGAACGAAAACUGGUUCCCAAAAGAUUAAAAAUGAAAUGUUAUCCUAUUGCUAUUAGCAACAACUCUUUAGUGAGGUGCGGAAGCACUGAUUGGUUUCUUGCACGGGCCCAGCCUGCACGCACCAGCGAGCUUACCAGGCCCUCCCUGGCCAGACUGACAGCAUGCAAAAGCCUGUUGUUUGGUUGUCUGCAUAUUCACAGCAUGGCCGCACAAAUCAGUUAAUUGCUGUCCUUGACAUUGUGCAGGCCAUGCACCGCUCCUCUCUCAUCCUGCACACCUCACGCGCUCCCAUCAGCUUGGCGAAUGACCAUUUUCUGCGUAUUCCCGGAGCCUAGCUGAGAAGGAUUUAAUCUUAAAUCACUAUCAAAAACCAUCUGCAGGGACGUUCCGUAUUUUCUAAGGGUGGGUAAAAUUACCACCCGCACCUACAAAACGGGGUAAUUACUGUAGCAUGCGGUCCGUCCAUGGAGAACCAUUUGCAGCCGCCUCCGGAAAUAAUCUUUUCAGGGACCCGCCUCUAAAAAUCGCCCGCAUUUAUAGGGGCGGGUCACCUCAUGGCCCGCCCCUGCAAAUGGUUGGUUCUCUAGGGGCGGGCCACACGAGCGACCCGUCCCUGAAAAUAGGCGACAAAACAACCAGCUGGGCUUCUUCCUCCUCCCGACAGCACAUUUACUGCUCGGAGGAGGUGCUGCCCGAAAAUCAAAAAAAGUGAAAAAGGUGGGGGAAGGUUUUCAACUUUGUUUCCCUGGAAUUGGAGCUUAUAGGAGGUAAGUUGAUGCUAAUUCCUUGUCUUUUUUAAGCUUAUCGCAUUGGUUUUAGGCUCAAAUGAAAUUCCAUGUACCUCUAGAUAGAUCUAGAUCUCCAAGGUGUGGAUUAGCCAUUUGGAGAUCCAUUUACCUCAAACUUUUGGAUGAAGUUAGCUUAUUUAGGUAGGAGAAUAAGAUUAUCUAAUCAUUUGGACUCAACUUUGAUGUUUUAGCCUCAUUCAUGAACGAUGAAUUUCCUAGAUCCAUGGAGGAGAGAGAAGAUUUGGUUUUUUCUGUAUUGACACAUGCAUGAUAUAAUUUUCAUUUUUUCCAAUAUUUUGUAGGACAAAACAAGUUGAUAUGGAUGAUGAAUAAUUAUUUUUCAUAUUUUUUCCAAGAUUUCUAUAUUUUUAUUUAUUUAUUAGGAAAUACUACAUGUGUAAUUAUAUAUUUAGUACUUGUUUGUUUAACAUUUAUGAUAGUUUUAAUCAAGUUGACAUGGAUGAUAUUUUCAUUAGGAAAUAGUACAUGUGUGUAAUUAUAUAUAUAAUGUUUUUAUUAGAAUAAAACAAGUUGACAUGUAUGAUAUUUUCAUUUUGUGUAAUUUAUUUUUGUUGUUCACAGAGAUGGAUAGGACAUGGAUGUACCAAGCACAAAGAAUGGACACCUAUUUCCGUGGAGAACUUAACAAAUUCAUUGAAGUUGCGGAGAAUAAUGCAAUGAUCAAGAAGACAAAGAUGGUGGCUUGUCCAUGCAAAACCUGCGAGAACAUGAGAGUAUUCAGCGAGACAACUAUAAUAAGAUCGCAUGUGAUGGUUCGAGAUUUCGUUGAACACUACAUGAUCUGUACAUAUCAUGGUAAGAAAGCACCCCCUCAGAAUCCGCUCGACAAAAUCAUGGAAGAUGUCGAGUUUGAAAGAAUAUUUGAUGCUUACGAUUCUUUUGAUGAGGGUGGCAGCAAUGAUGAUGGUGUUUACGAGGGUGGCGAUGGUGGUGGUGAUUACAAUGGCGGUUAUGAUAGUAGAGGCGAUGACGAACUUGACGAUAGUGAUUUUCUGAGCCAGUUGUUGCACCACACCAAAGUGGAACUAUUUGUUGGAAGUGCAACUUCGAGACAGUGAAGAAAUUAGCGGAGGAGAAUGUGUACAAGCGUUCAAAGGGAUGUCCAAAACACUGGAUCGUGCUUCAUUUCAUACUUGAGCUAUUGAUUCUAAAGGCUAAACACGGCUGGUCCGAUGGUAGUUUCAAUGAUCUGUUGCGUAUAUUGGCUUGGUUGCUUCCAAAGCCAAAUGGAGUGCCCGCCAACACAUAUCGAGCAAAGAAGCUUGUUAGUCCAUUCACGAUGGGUGUGGAAAGAAUUCAUGCAUGUCCAAACCAUUGUAUCUUGUACCGCGAGGAUACUUUCAAAGGCUUGGAGCAAUGCCCUGUAUGUUUUGCAAAUUGGUACAAAAACAAUUCCAGUUAUUGUGAUGACGACAAGCAAAACCAACCGAUGGGAAUAAAAGGAAGAGGAAAGAUAUAAGGAAUAGUGUAGCCACUGUUGAGCUAGAAGACACUACUUUAGGCAUUUAUGAGAAGCGGAGUUGAAGAGUAUCUUGUCCCCCUAAGUGGGUUUUGAUGGAUUAAUGAUGCAAGCUUAAGCGUCUAAUGAAAUUUCAAGUGUAUAAGCAGGUUUAAAAGGAAUGAUGGACAUGGGCCCUUUUUGAUUGACCCCUCAAAAAGGAAAUGAAUAGGUAAAGGGCAUACCUUGAAGGCUAAAUUUAUUUUUGGUUUGAAUUUGAGUAUAGGAAUGCCGCACUAUUAAGAAGGAUGCGUAACCUUUGGUCUUUACAUUGAAAAAAGUGAUCAAGAUGACCUAAAUAGACACCUAUGCACCUGCACAUCACAUAGGGAUACUUAGAAUGGUGCUAACUUAAGAGCUUCAGAUUUUUCUGAAGAUUCUUCCGGAAUAUUUCGGAGUUUACAGAGUUUCCGGAAAGUAUUCCGGAAAAUUCUGGAAGUCCAGAGAUUUUUGGAAAUUGUUCUGGAAGAAUCCGGGGGUUUCCGGAGUUUUUGGACAAAGUUCUGAAAACCUCCGGAACUUAAUCUGGUGUGUCUCUAGUGUGUGUGUCUCUUUAUUCGUCGAGUUCUGGUAGAUGGAUCUCGGGGCUUGGUGAAUUUUCAGGGUAUUUAUAGCCUGGAGAGCGCGUGGCAAAAAUUGGAAGGUGAGGGGGCGAAGGAAAACCCCAGGCCGAUCGGCCUAGGCCUUCCUUUUGCCCUCUCGUGUCUUGCUUCGUCCCCAAAUCUUCUUAGAUGCUCAGGAGUCUUAUUUUCACUUGCAUGUGGACCUAGAUGUUGGUAGCUUCAGGAUGAGAUUGAUCUUCAAUAACUUGCUAAAUCUUCGCUCGAUCCUCUUUGAUCCUGAAGUGAUCCUUGACAUAUCUUCACAAACUUAGCCCUUAAGUUAUCUUGGAGGAGUGCUUGCCAAAAAUGAGCGUCGGAGGAGGCCAGAAGACCCCUGGCCGAUCGGCUUGGGCGUCACCAGGCCGAUUGGCCUAGGCUCUUUCUAAGCUUGCUAGCCUUCAUCUUUGAUAGGUUUGUUGCUCAUUCAGAGCUUUAUCCAAAUAUAUACUUUCAGCUCCAAUUUCCUGCAAAAAUAGAAUAUCCUUCAAAAUACAAUGCAUAUACGAAAAUGGGGUUAUUUCAGGUACCAAGUGGCGGGUUAGUAUAAGAAUGUGUAUGAAAACACCACUUAAAUGGUACUAAAAAUGUGUCAAUAACAAGCGUCACCAUCAGGCCGCCUCCUCCCUGACAGUUGGUUUUUAUUUUUCUUUUUUCAUUUUAUUUAAAGUAAAUUCAUUAAGGAUUAUAAAUGUUAUCAUAUAUAUAUAUAUAUAUUAUUAUUUUCUCAAUGAUAUAAAUGUUAUAUGAUAGGGAUUGCGGUAGAAAUUUAAAAUUGUUACCUUUGUCCAUUUUUAUUCCAUGCAAUUGCAAUAUGAUAAUAAAUAUGUUUUCAUAAGUUAUCAUAAUGUACAUGUGAUCUAAUCCAACAAUUGUAAAUUUCUUCCAUUAUUUUUGACAAUCUUUUAUUCUUAGCAUUGCAUGAAUUAUGAUGUUUUGUGGCGUAAUUACUAUUGAAGUUGAUGUUUGUGGAAUAAUGUAUCUUAUUACAAUUUUAUUUGGAUAGUUUGGGCUAAUUAUGGCAAGUGGAAGUUCUUUUUGCCAUGGUGGCGACGGCCGCUGUGAUGGUGGCGAUCAUGGAGACUACAUGUUCGAGGAGCCGUUGUCUCAUCGUCCGGGAAUUGACUUCCCUACUGGCGUCUUUGACUUGCCACAAGGCGAUCGAAGCAAAGGAUCAGUUCCCAAUACAGUAAUAUUCUUUCCUUCUUGUAAUUGAUUUUUUACUACACAUGAAUAAUUUCUAAAUUUACUUGCAUACAAUGUAGCUUAUCAACCCUAUUAGAUGGCUCAAAGAUGUUGUCGAAGAUAUAUGUGGUACUUCUCCUUUAGUGCAAACCGAGGUUGUUGGUGAACCUCAUUUUAAAAGAGUACAUAUCUCUUUUCAAGUACCUAUUCAAGAAACAGAUUUCACAUCGAAGUUACCAGGAGAGGCCAUCCCGAUGGUUUCAAUUGUCGCAUGGGGUCAAAUAGCACCAAAUAGGGUAACUUUUGGAGGACCGCCAUGGAGGCUUGCUUGAUUAUGGGUACUUUGUGCCAGAUUUAUCAUAUUUUCGAAUAAAGCAGCUCGAGGAGGGAGAAAGCAAUGUGAUUGUGACUACUGAGAGACUUUGUCGGCUUAAUCAACAUGACAUGGUAUGAAACAUUCUUUUAUCAUUCUUUUAACUUUAGUUAUGUUACAUCUUUUAACUUUCAUCACAUUAUUAUCAUCUUUUAGGAUCUCUUUGGUACUACCAAUGCGGCAACGAGCUUUCGUGUGAUUCUAGCUCAAGUCUUGGAUGUGUUGGAUUUGACUUACAUGGGUGAAAACCCGAUAUUCACCAAAGAUUGGAAGUUCCAGGCUCAUCUCACUUUCUACAGGCCAUAUCAGCUGACCUCUCCAUUGUUCGAGAUUUAUGGUAGUGUAUGUGACCGUCCAUGUGAAGCGUAGGAGAGUGCACUCAUCCGUGCUCUAACUUUUUAUAAAGUUCUAGGCUGGACGAUUGGAAACCUUAACUAUGUUCCAUAUCUAAGGAAGCGAACCGGAGUAAAAUUAAAUAUGUAGCAUGCAUGGAUGUACCCCUACCCUUUUCUUAUGAAUUUGAACAUAUUCUCUCUAAGAUCUUAAGUAAUGAUGUACGAACUUGCACUAUUGUCAGAAUUGGUUAUAUUGUAUUAUGGCGUGGAUGUACCCCUACUCUUUCCUUAUUGAUGUAGGAACUGGCUAUAUAUAUUAUAUUGCAUAGUGUUCUUUGAGUGUUGGAUCUAAAUGGGUUGAUUGAGAACCACAUUUUAAAAAUUUUGCGUGAAAUUGGUACAAAAUUUUGGCGAUAACGUAUUUCAAGGGGCCAUCAGCCGUCCCUGGAAAAAAAGCUUUACAGGGACGAACCUUUUACCCGCUCCUACAAAUAACUAUUUAUAGCUGCGAAAGCUAGGAGCGGUAGCGCGCCCACCCUGAAAAUAUUGUUUCAACCGCACCUGGAAACCAUUUUUGUAGUCGUGCAUCGCACGAGACAGGUCCAGUAGCUGCUGCAUCCAUCAAUCACGCGCUAGUUGCAUGCGGGGAGCCUGCUCGUUCGGCUAAAACGAGGCAACCAAUCAGCCCCAUGGGUUCGAAUUGAUACAAGAACUUCACGUGCGCGAAAAAUGUGUGACUGCGAGCCAGGCUAAUAGACUGGUCAAUCCCAAAUAUAUUCCUUCUUAUUUAUUGCAUGUUGUAGAUCCUUGUAUGGAUAGAUCCUUCACACAUGUACAUCGUCUCUCUUGUUUUUGAAACUUAUGUAGAUCGUCUCUCUCUUGGCGGCGAGCUGGGGUUCCUCCGAUGCGUCCUUUGCUGCCGACUUGGGCGCGCGCGGACAAGACAAUGCAGGACCGAUGAACAGUAGGGUGGCGAGCUAUCAAUAAUCAGUCAGGGCGUGGGCAGCUAGCGCGUGCCGUCGUCGUUUCCCGCACGGAGAGAGCUAGCUGUUGCCGGAAACCAAACUUUCCUGGGCGCUGAAAACGAUCGAGGCGAGGAUCUUGAUCCGAGUGAAGCAGACGGUUUUUCGUCGUCUCCAACCGCAACAUCACGGUUGCAAGCCAGGCCAAGAGCCACACGAAUACACGGUGGAUGGAGCCGUAUACGUGUAGCCAUUACCUCGCCCCGUUGAGACGAGCUAGGUCGUCACCAUCAGUACGGACGGUGGUACCAGACGUACGGUUCACGAGAGGAGCGAGGCCAUGAAAUAUCUUGCUUUGGCACAAUCAAACUCAGCUAGCUCAGGCCCCCACAUCACCAGGCCAUGGGCUAGGUCGCUAGGAUAGGAUCUGUGUUCUCCAACCAUCAUAUCGAUCCUUGACACGCACGCAUGUCACCCGUACGCACGGAAAAUAAUGGAACUUAUUCGCUUCAGUUUAUAAGUCGGCUGAAAAGCUGAAACGGCUGAUUUGUUGUGAGAGAAAAAUAUUAUUUGAUGACUAAUAAGUCGGCUGAAUAAGCUGAAGCGAACAGACCCUCUAGCUCACGUCCAUGGCGGACGGGCGCUGUUCCGAUGAUGUCAGCCGGGCACCGACCGGCCGUGCCCGACGGCGACGUGCGUCGAAUCUAUCGUCGAUGGAUAUUACGAUUUUCAACUGCGAAGUUAACACGUUCCCGUGGAUCGUAUCAUCGCAUCUCCCAACGAAAAGGCAGAAUGAUUAGCCUGUUAAUUCGCAGCUGGGCGCGGUUAUUAGCAGUUAGCACGUCCGGUUGAUGAUGGGGUGGAUGUAUCGGUCCUGUUACCAAGGGUCGCCGGCCCGGCCGAUCCAUCGUUUUCUUGCACGUUGACGGGAGCAAUGGCCGCAAUGCCGUACGUUUCAAGGGGAGAUCGAACGGUAUGAUGCGCCACCUCUCGUUUUUAUGAGCAAGGUAGGAGAACGUAGUGGUGCAAGAAAACGUACGGAUCUGCCUUCUUGUGGCGUGCAAAUUAAAAGCUUCAUUUAUUUGACAUGAGCAUCUGUAAUUCGUAUCCGUGUAUACCGUAUAGUAGCAACUCUUAUAAACUCCCGCAGUAGAACAAGUAACUGUGACACGUAAAGCAAAACGGAGGGAGUAACAGCAUGAACGACCAUCGUGUGGUAGCAAGUCUUACACAAAAGCUUGAGAGCCUUUAAUUCUUGUCCUUUUUUGUGCUAGUCAUGGGCUGUCAGCACUGUUCAACGCCCCCCACAUUAUCAGUGCUGCGCUCUCACAUACAGGACCAAGGAAAAUAUCUUGACAUGGUUCAAUACGGGCCCUACGAUACCGGACGACGUACGGGUGUACCAUGUACGUGCUCCUCGAUCUCUGAUAGUUCACAUGCACGCCACAGAAAUCUUCCACCCCAUCGCCGUCCAUGGCAGACGACGGCGGACGUACGUACGGGCGCCCAUUGCGAUGAUGUCUGCAGGGCAGUCACCGGCCGUGCACGAAGGUGACACAUCGAGAAUUUAAAUCGAUCGUGUAUUCGUGUUACAAGUCCAAAGAUAUGAUCUUCAUCACCUUAUCAACUGUCAGUAGUUAGUGUUAACGAUAGACAUCUCUUCCUAUUCAUAGAAGGAGUCCUGAUUCUCCUGGAGCUGUGUCUCUGUGAUUUCCGUAGGGGUUGUUGAACUCGGAUGUAAUCUCUUCAAUGUAUCCUGCCUAUAUAUAUAUAUAUGAGAGAAUACGACCCUAGCAGGUCAGGUAAUGCCAAUUACAUUGACAGUUAGCACGUCUAACAUUUUUUUUUUGAGGGAGACGAUUAGAUGAUGAGUAGUAAUGGUCAGCUGGGCUACGAAAUGCAUUAUUGAUCAGUUCGGCCGGCGGCCCAUUUGCCUUUAUUGGAGGAAGGCCGCGGCCCAGUCAAGCAACUCCUCGCGUGGGGGAAUUGGCCCAUUAAAGAAACAAAAGCAAAAGCGGGGAUCAUCCUUUGCAACCAGAAAGUGGAAAUCUGUGUGCCAUCCCAUAUGACCCCACUUGUCCGUGACAGUGAAUUGGCCAUACCUUAGGAUCAUUUGCUAGGUUGAUUCCACUAGGCGAUAGUCAGGGGCGGAGGCUCCUCGGCAAGCAAGCCGAAGAAUACGUGGUACCUCGCGGAGGGGACAUUGAUUCAUCACCCACACAAUGGAACACGAAUUGACGGGGGCGAGGCAUCGAGCAAGCGUCACAGACGUCCUCAAUUCCCUUGCGUCUGUGCAGAGCGGGGUACUAGGUAUGAUGAGAGUAGCUUGUGGCUCACCGACGCCAGCAGACCUGCCGCCGGUGUCGCACGGCCACGGCAGCAAAGUAUAACGACGAGCAAUACCUGACGAACACAGAAGCGAACAGCAAGUUUUUUUUAAGGGAAUAUAUGUCUAAGAAGCAUCAAUGCUUCGUACGUUACCCUGAUCUACUGGCCAUCCUUAAUUGAAGACUUUAGACCAAUUUCCCUUCUAAACUCCACAAUUAAGCUACUCACCAAGCUACUUGCAGACAGGCUACAGCAGGUGAUCCUAAGAUUGACAAGAAUCAAUAUGGUUUUAUUAGAUCAAGAUUUAUACAUGACUGUCUGGCUUAGGUCUUUGAAUACCUACAUAUCUGCAAGGCCUCUAAAAGAGGUGAUCCUAAAACUAAACUUUGAGAAAGCCUUUGAUAAGAUUGAACACCAAGUCAUUCUACAAAUUCUAAAACACAAAGGCUUCGAGGAUAGAUGGAUUAUUGGAUCAAAGACAUACUAGGAUCAGGCACAUCUUCAAUUCUUCUGAAUGGAGUUCCAGGUAAGUCUUCCACUGCAGAAGAGGAGUAAGGCAAGGUGAUCCCCUCUCACCUCUUCUUUUUGUUCUGGCAGCAAACCUACUUCAAUUAGUCAUCAACACAGGCAAAGACCAAGGAUUUAUUAAACUACCAAUUUCAGAAAGAGCAGGAAUAUAUUUUUCAAUUAUUCAAUAUGCAGAUGACAUCCUACUUGUUAUGGAGGCCUGCCCAAACCAGCUCUUGUUCCUCAAAGACCUUCUCAGCACCUUUGCUGCCUUCACUGAACUGAAGGUCAAUUAUAGUAAAUCGGUUGUAGUGCCCUGAACAUUUCUGAAUCAAAUCUUGAGAAUCUUGUCAGAACUUUUAACUGUCAAAAAGGCUCUCUCCUCUUCACAUAUCUGGGACUGCCCCUAGGAACCACCAAGCCAAACAUGGAAAAUUUUCUACCCCUCAUACAAAAGAUAGAAAAGAGGCUACUCCCUCAAACAAAAGAUAGAAAAGAGGCUAAGUAGCACGUCCCUUCUUUUGAGUCAAGGUGGAAAGUUGGAGAUGGUUAACUCGGUCUUCUCUUCAUCAACAGUUUUCUAUACAUCAACGCUAAAAUUGCACAAAAGGGUUAUAAGAUAAUUGGACAGAUAUGAACUCCAAGAAGCCUUCCAAAGCUGCUUGGCCUAUGGUAUGUUUGCCUAAGCAACAAGGUGGAUUGGGAGUUAUCAAUCUUGUUACACAUAAUGAUGCUAUGCUGCUAAAGUUCAUGCACAAGUUCUUCUCCAAGGUUGACCCAAGGUCAACACUCCUUGGGUCAACCUUGUAUGGGAAAAUUACUAUGCUAAUGGUCGACAACCGGAUCAGCAAAGGAAAGGCUUAUUUUGGUGGAGGGCUGUAGUCAAAUUACUGGAUACAUACAAAGGAAUCGCUUCAGUUUUAGUGGCGAGGACUCCACAGUACUCUUUUGGAAAGACCUUUGGAAUGGAGCAGUGCAAUCGCAGGUUCAGCCGAAGCUUUUCUCAUAUUCCAAAGACCACAACAUCACCUUCAAAGCGGUUGUCAACCAACCAAGUUUUAUCCAGAAUUUCAACUUACCCCUAACAACCCAAGCACAUUCACAAUUUAUCAUCCUGCAGUAACUCAUUGAUGGCAUGAAUACCGUACAAGAACCUGACAGGUGGACAUACAUUUGGGGCAAUUCAAUGUUUUCAACAUCCAAAGCAUAUAAGGCUAUCAUUGGGUAAAGGAAUACCCAUCCAACAUAUUUUUGGCUUUGGAAAUCUAAACGUCAGAUGAAACACAAGGUCUUCUUCUAGUUAUUGCUCAAAGAUCAUCUUAGUACAAGAGAUAUAUUGAGAAGGAAACAAAUGAAACUUGACUCCUACACUUGCGAACUAUGUAUCUUGCAAAAGAUGGAAAAUGUGGCACAUCUAGUCCUCCGAUGUAACUUUGCCAAAGCAUGCUGGAAUUCAAUUGGAGUAUCAGUUAUCACCACCAGACCAAUCCUUCAGAUUUUUCAGACAAAUCAAGGACAAGCUGGCUGUUCCUUUCUUCAUGAAAAUAAUAAUUGUUAUGUCAUGAAGCAUCAGAACAACUAGGAAUGACUGGAUGUUCAAUGGACUGGAUCCAUCAGUGCAAUUGUGCAAAAGGAAAUUCAUGUCUGAAUUUUCCUUGUUACUCCAUAGAGUGUGCCCCACUUUAGUGCCUAUUAUGAAUGUCUGGUUACAUACUCUGUAAUCUCUUACCUUGUACUCCCAGGCUUGUUUUUUCUUCUUCUUUUUUCUCUUUCUCUUCCUUUCCCCUUUUUGAUUUUAUGUCUUUAGAAUUGUGCCAUUUUCUUUGUAUCCUUUUAUUUAAUAUAUAAUCAGUAGGGGUUUAACCCUCCUAUUCUUUUAUAAAAAAAGCAAAUAGCAGGCACCACCCGCAUGUAGAUGGGAUGGCAGACAGGAAGGGGAAACUCUGCCGAUAUCUGAAGUUAUUGAACUGCUCUUAAUUUUUAUUGAAUAGCUAUAUUUUAUUGAGGAUCGUUAGGUCAUUACCUUUAUUAGUGCACUAUGUUUACUUAUCCAUGGUUCUUUUAGGAGGGAGGGGCUUUUUGGCUGAUACAAGGAACAUGAUGACACUAGUGGAACUCGAAUGCAGAUGAGAUAUUUGAAGUAUAAGAAAAUCCAGAGACAACCAAAAUUUGUUUAAUGCCGUAAAGGAGCAUGUCUAUGUGUGCUCCCGAAAUUCAAGAGCAAAGUUAGGCCCUCUUUAAUGGUUGAGGUAGUACACUAAAAUUCAAGAGCAAUGUUAGGCCCUCUUUAAUGGUUGAGCUAGUACAUUUGCUUUAAGCAUGUCUACCUAAUAAAAGAGAUAGCAAAGAGACUACUUCUCCAAUGAUCUAUCUCAUAGCACAUCAUUCAAAGCAUCUUAGGUCCCACAAUAUGUCUCACAUUAAUAAAAUAUGAAAUCCACUUCUCUCUAUGAGCUAUCUCUUGAACAAGAGAUAGCACACUCUCUCUUUUCCCCAUAUUCUCUCACUUCUAUGUAACCAAAAUCAUGAGGUGGACUCCUAUGAACUAGCUCAUGUGGUAUUGUUGGAGGAGGCCUGCUUUAAUUAUCAAUGGACAAUUGCUACACCCUCUAUCCCAAAUUGUAGGUCGUUUUGGAUUUUCUAGCACUACUAGCGAAUGGAUCUUUCAUCCACGACCUUAGUACCGGUUCAAAUUGAGCCUAGUACUAAUGUUAGCAUUAGUACCGGGCCUAGCGGAUAGUACCCAAGGGGGUGCCCGUGAGGCCCUUUAGUACCGGUUGGGGGCACCAACCAAUACUAAAGGGUCCACAUUAGUACCGGUUGGUGCUCCCAACCGGUACCAAUGUGACACCCCACCUUUAGUACCGGGUCAUUAGUACCGGUUGGGGGCACCAACCGGUACUAAUGUGGACCCUUUAGUACCGGUUGGUGCCCCCAACCGAUACUAAAUUUCUUCCUAUAAAUCCCCUCCUUCCUAAUGCCCGAGUCAUUUCCUCCAGCUCGAGCUUCACCCUAUCCAUGCCGAAAUAAGAGGAGGUGCUGCCGGAUUUUGACCAUUUUUUAGGGAUUUCACUCAUUCAAGUGUUCAUAGAUGUUUGUAUAUAUUAUAUUUAGAUGCAUACAAACAUCUAUGAACCGAGGGCGGGGAUCUUGAUAUUUACGUCCACAUCCUUCAAUAGUAGAUUUAAAUUUGCUGCAAACAUUUCAAUGAGAUGAUCACUUGAUCAGGGGACGCACAUACCUAAUCAAUUUGUUUGUUUUUUUAACCAAACAUGAGGUGUCUAUUUCAUAUUUUUUUAUAAAAAAGUAAGAGGAAGGCUGACAAUAGACAAGUAGUAAGCCAAUUAAACAACAAAACUAACUCCUCAACUAAAAACAACUAGGGCAACUAUUGACACUUGACAACAGCCGAAACUGGCACCGAAGGCCCUGCUUGGUGCAGUUUCAUGUCACGGGCUCACGGGCCUAGGAGCGCAAGCGCGGGGGAAUUAGUGGCAGGCGAGGUUUUGAUUUUUGAACCUGAGUAAGAGCGGUAGGUCGUGAGUAUGCCUUGGGCCAUAUUCAGCCCGUGUAGCCAUCGAGCAGUAGGCCAUGAAUAUGCCUUGGGCCUUGGGCCAUGUAUGCGACAAUAUCCUCGACUCUGAAGGAAUUUUUUCUGAACCUAAACCUGCGCAUUCCUCUGUGGCCUCUGUCUCUCCCUAUUCACUUCUUCCUCCUUGUCAAGUCUGUUCUGGUUAUCUCCCAAUCCCUUCCGCUCCCUCUUCUGAUUGAUUACCCACUCGCUAACCAGAGGAGCGCAACACAUCAUCCUCAGCCAGCGCGCCCCCACUACCGCACUGUCCUCGAACACAGUUGCUUGAGCACGUGUUCGCGACUAAAAUUGGCAGACUUGGACAGAUAUGUUCUGAACCGGUCUCCAACCGGUCAGUCCAGUUUGAUCAAAGUUCUGAAAAUGUAAAUUGGACUUCACCAUUGUGUAGCUCUCAUCGAGUAGAUCAAAAUGCAUAUAUAGGGCCUGUUUGGGAGCACUCCACUUCAGAAAAACCAGCUCCACUCCACCAGCUCCACACUUUCCUAGCUCCACUCCACCAACUCCAAAAAAACAUGGAGCUGCUGCACGUGUUUGGCUAAUGGCAGUGCUCCAGCUCCAAAAAUAUGAGCACUUGUUGUGAAUGGUCUAUUUUACCCUUUGUGAACGGACCCACAUGUCAUACUCUUCUAUUUUCUCCUCUCUUCUUCCUCUCUCUCCUCUCCUCUCCUCUUCUCAGUUUCUGGAGGUGGGACAUGCAGACGCGGCGCAGCUGGCGCCAGCGCUCUCCGGAUGACACGAAGACCAUGUCACGGGUGCAGUAUAGGCGGUCGGCCAUCCGCAGCCUGGGGCAGCUGGCGAAGGCCAGGUCGCGGGUCUUCAUGGCCUCCUCCACGGCGGCCGUCGAGGACGCCAUGACGGUGGGCACCUGGCCGAGGAGCUCACCCCCGGCCGGCCUACGCCCCGACCGCGCUGCCACGGGGGAGCUCGCCCCCGGCCGAACGCCCCUGCCGGCCUGCAUCCGGUGGGAGAAGGAAACGGAGACGACGGAGGAGAUAGAAAAAUAAGAACCGAACCGGUAACUUGUGUAACCAGUGGCAAUGGUGGGUAAUAACCCUAACUCCAUGAGGAGGUCUGAAAAGGAGGUUUUUGGAGCACCUCUUGAGGUACUCCAUAAAUAACGUGGAUCUACCCCCUGCUUCACCUUUUUCCUGGAGCCGGAGUUGCUGGAGCUAGACGUGUUUGGCUGCAAAAUUUUUGGAGUUGGUGGAGUGAAGCAAUUUUUCCUGGAGUGGAGUGCUCCCAAACACCCCCAUAGAAUGUCUGAUUUGGUGUUCGGAUGAGAGAGUUAUGUCUCAGUAAGCUUUGCUAUAGCUAAUCUUGUACUUGAACUUCUCCUCUAUGGCACAAAUAAUGGACUUGGGUUCGAAGCUGGGAUUCUCCACUAUCUGAGGAUACAUAUAUUGAGCAACAAAAUCAGCAGUGAGGUUGCGGUAUAUUUCUUCCAAUUCAUCCAACAAGCAUUGGUGCUCAACCACCCUAGUCACCUCCCAGUAAUCCUUCCACUUCCCCUUGUAUGCGUGCACCCUAAACGGGCAAUCAUUUCUCACACAGCGGACAUCAUACGCCAUCGGGUUGCUCUUCUCCACUCUAAACUGAUGCUGCAAAAAUAAAGUGGACCAUCUGUUCACAGCUGCCUUUACCUCAUCCCCACUAGGGUACAAAGCACCCACACAAACCUCAUUCUCCCUAUACUCCCAAGGGAUAUUUCUCCUACAUUAACCUACAGGGCGGAAUGGUCAUAAGUUGACCAGUUCCGCGGGACAGGGUAAGCAUCUUCCUCAUCCGACGAGUCAUGAUCCAUGAUACCAUUGGCCUCCUCUCCUUCCCUCACCACCUGCUCAACUAACUUAACAAUUUAUUCCCCCUCAUCAGCCUCCCCAUUAGGCUCAUGGGCUGCAACAUCAUCCUCUGUAUCUCCCCCUUCUGCCCCAUCGUGAUCAACUUCUUCAUUUGCCCCAUCAAUACUCUCCGCAUAUUCCUCGGCUUCAACUUCAGCACCUCCCACUUCUUCUACCAUCUGACUGCUAGACCCAGCCUUCGUGAACAGUUGAACAUACCAUAUGAGCGGUAAACCAUGCCUCGUGCAUGCCUUUACAUAAGCCCGGUAGCUUGGGGUUCCUUCAAGCGGGAGCAGCUCUCAAAAGUUUAUGUAUGGCCAUCUCUUCACUACAAGCCUUACAGACACAUCCACUUGAUCUCUGUCAACACUGAAAUCCUUACAAAGCCACCUGCAUAUGCCCCCCCCAGUCCUCCCUAUUGCUCUUGGUAAAUAUUUGCAGAAAUACUGAAAACCACUCAAAUCUACCCCUUCCGAACCAUAUCUAAGCUCCUCCGAAUCAUAGAACACUUAGAAAUAUAAACUAUCUGACAUACCUGCCAACAUACACGAAACGAGCAGUCCAAAUUACUCUCAAUAACUUAAAUCAGUUAACUACAACAACACCUUCAUUUAAUUCUAUUAUCAACAAUAAUAAUUAUUUAAGAGUAAACCAACCUUACGAACAAAAUUUACCAUAGGCAUUUACCUGGAAAAAUAUACGCGACAAUCACAAAGGUCCUCACUAAAUCUAAUAAUUCCAACUACCCCUAUAACAACUAUAUUGCCAACACCUAAACAAAAUAUAACCCUACCAAUGCAAAUAAUAUUCAUCUAAAUUUAAUCUACAUAAAUCAACAAACUAAAUUUACUGUCAACUAAAUACCUAAGCUAAAUCCACUAUACUAACUAAGCUAUAUUUUUCCUAUGUCUAAAAUCCGCUACAUUUUCCUAAGUCUCGGAUCCACUAAACUAACUAAACUAACUACUAGAUCUAUCUACUACUACAUCUAUCCACUACACUGUGGCGGAACCACCUCGGAUUAACUCAACUAAAGCACGGUUAAGUCGCUUAAGAUGCGAUCCUCAUGCCUUAAUCGCGUUAACUCGAGGUGCCGUCGGAUUUCUUCCAAUUUAACCACUUGACAGGACCGAGUUAGCAUAACCCACACGAAGGUGAGUGGUUCCAGAGAAUACAACAGGUCCACUACUAGAUUAACAAGUUGUUGCACACUCGGUUAUAAAUCAGAGUUUUACAAAUUCUGAAGAAAACAACAGAAGAUAAAACAAAGCGGAAGCUACUCGUCGGGUUCGGAUGUCCCUGGUGAGGCUAGCCAGGACAUCAAAGGUCCCUUUCCUCGCCGUCCGAGGAGGGAUCCCACUCGACCGUCCAACCCGGAGGGAGUUGGGGCGGCCAAGAGCCAGCAGCAAGCUCAGAAGCUGCAACUUCACCUGAAAAGAGAAGCCACAAACAAGGCUGAGCUUCUAAGCUCAACAAGACUUAACCGACCGGUGGGAACAACUACUCCACCACUUCUAGACAUGCAAGGCUCUUUGGCUGAGGGGUUUGUUUGCCAAAAGCACUAUGUAGAUCCUUAUUUUCAAGUUUUAGCUCAAAUUCUAAGUUCAUUAACCAGUCUACAUUUGCAACUUACUCUAAGCAAACAUAGAUCCAACUUUAUGCAUAUAAGCUCAUCAUCAAGACCAUGUCAUCAUCAGAUUCCUUCAUUACUCAGUGUAGCAUUAUGAUCAAUCAGUCUCAAACUGUGGGAGGCAGACGAAUCGAUUCGAGUUCUUUAACCAUGCAUGGUGAACCUAACCUCACGACAUCCGCGCACCACCGAGGGUCGCUUCCUGUGUCGGCCUUCCCCAUCAAUUCCCUAACCCGUGUCAAGCCCACUUCCUUUGGUGCAAGGUUCCACAGACCCAGCCUCUGCCGUUCUGUAACCACACUUGCCACCACGUGCGGCCGCAGGGGAACUUCGUUCCAAGGACAGUGGGGCAACCGCUCACGUCUAGGUUCAAUCAGGUACUAGGCUUCCCCAUCCCAUACUGAGUAUGAGGUUAGUACUUUCAAACACUUGAUCACGAACACCACCACUGUCGGGCCUUAACAGAUUCAGUAAACAGACGGGACGAUCAGCCGACCACCAAAAGAGUUAACCAAAAUCUUGCCCCGUCCAUCGUCCUUAUAGUUGUAACAGAAGGAAAACAACCGACUCCUAUAACUCGCGAGUGACCACUCGACUUUUACCGAUUCCGAUUUAAGCAUAGCAACUACUCGACCCAACAAACUUGUGUUCAGAUCAAGGGAACUAUGUCAUGCAUCUAAGGUUGCAAACAACUCCUAUACGUAAAUGCACAAACAUGAGAAGUAAGGCAUGUGCAAGUUUGGAAAGAUGGGUUCAUGCUCCGGGGCUUGCCUUCAAGCGGAGGGGAGGAAAACUGUUCUUCAGCGGGGGCUGCUUCGGCUUCUGGAACUGGCAGCUCAGCUACAGCUCCGUCUUCGGGCGCCGGGUGUAGCUCGUAGACGCCAUCAGCGAGAUGCAACUCUACACGAAUGCAAUGCAGGAGUUAGUGUUUAGACGGUUAUUUUAACAACACUUGCAGUUAAAGCUCGGAUACCUGUAGCAAAGCUACAGAAAAAGUGGGGGAAGUUCACUUUAGUUGGUGGAGAACAGGACAAAAGGGUCGAAUGGGAAUAAACUUGUGAUCUGACCCUUAAACUUUAAGGGAUAACUGUGUUCGGGGUCCUCAGACUUAACGCAGAGAAAUCCCGAUCUUUUACACAGAUACACUCGGGUCAAGGAAACAGAUACAGCCGAGUCCUCGGGCCAGGCGGAUAAGGGUCGGCGGAACAGACAGGGUCGGGAGAGACGGAAAAAGGGGUCGGGCGAAACAGAUAGGGUCGGGCGAGACGGAAAAAGGGGUUGGGCAAGCCGGAAAGGGGUCGGCAGCUUACCUUCAGGGUUAUAGGUGAAGCUUUGGGGUCGGGAAAAAGCAGACUUGGGCGGAAGGUCUUAAGCACUAAGUCUUGGGCGGCGGCGAGGUUGGACAAUGCUCCGACGGUGGCGGAGCUUCUUGUGGGCAAUAAGGAAGCUCUAGCACAGCACGGAGGAGCAGACGGCUGGGUGGAUUGGGGAGAAGCGGGUCUGAGCGGAGAAGGGGAACUCUCAAGAGUUUCAGUGGGAUUGCUCAAGUGUGCUCAGAGUAGGGAGGGCGAAAACAGCAAUGGCGAAGGAACUCCGGUGGGACUCUGGCCUUCCUUUUAUAGCUGCGCCGAAGAGAGAGAGUUGCAGUAGCGCGAAGACCGGAAGGAAAGGAUGGAGUGCGCUGCCAUGGCGGCGAUUGAGCGGCGAUAGGCGGCAGAACAGAACUUCGGAGAUAGCAUCUUCGGCCAUUGGGCACUGGAGACAAGGCGGCACAGGCACGGUUUUGCCGGGGUUGAGAUUUGGCGGAGGCGGCGUCGUCGAGCGGCGGAUUUGAUUGGUGUGAUAGGGAGAACGACGCUACAAGAGAGGUUGCAACAGGUGAAAAGACAGGGCGAGUUGCGGCUGCGCGGGCGAGCGCGAAACAGCGGCUUGCCGGGGCACAGUUCUGGCAAGGCGGAAAAGGAGCUAUCGCGGCCGGAGUCGGGGUUGGCGAUGGAGGAAUCGUCGCGGAGCGAGUCCGUGGGUGGCGCGACUGUGGAGAGGCGGAAAAGCCGGAAGGCAUCGGGGCUUGCAGCCGGGGAUCCGGCAAGAUGAUGAUGGGCGCGGUUCGCGAGGCGGUCUGACGCAGCAGCGGCAAAACACUGCCACGGCGGCGACGGGACACCAUGGCGCGGCCGGCGAGGGCGCGAGCGAGACAAGGCGAUGCAGAAAUGGUUGCAGAGGGCUUCCGCGGCGAUUGGGGAGGAGGGCGCGGGAAUCCAUCCUAUCGCGACCGGCGACUGGGCGAAGCGGCGGGCGUCGGAGAGAUCACGCCACGCGGCGGAGAAGCUCUGAAGCGGGCGCAUGCUGCUCGGGCGUGUCUGCCUCGGGAGAUCCGAGGAAAAGAUUUGUGGGUCCACCCGUCAGUCUCGGUUUCUCCUCUGCUCAAGAUGGAAAGGAACACUGAUGUUGGGACUUAGAAGGAACCGGCGGUUCUGGUUGGGUUUUCAGGGGUCAGGACCGGGAACUAGAGUUGAGCGCUCCUGCUCGGGAAGAGCUGAGUCAGCGGGAUUAGGGACUCGGAUUAAGAUUAACUCAGCUGAUUUAACCAGGGUCGUUACAUACACUAUCUACAUUAACUAAACUACGAGAUUUAAAAAAAAUACCUGAAAUGAAGCGACGACCGAAACUUCAAUCUCCCCUCUCCUCCUCCCUCCCUCUCUCUCCCUUCCUUCCUUCCUUCCUUCCUUCCUUCCUUCAUUUCCCUCACUCCCUCCCUCCUCCUCUCCCUCCCUUCCUUCGGUCUCCCUCCCUCCCUCCCUUCCUGGCUCGCUCGGUCUGCUCUGGCGUGGAGGGGAGCCUGAGGGCGGCCACGCACCGUUUAUAUAAGGGGGGCCCUGCCGGCUCAUCCGGCGGUAAGGCUAGCUUCCGCCCUUUGAACUGACGGGACGCCCUUACCGCUAGAUGAAACGAUGAAAACUCUUUGAAACCCGCGUCAUUGGAACCCGUGGGCGGCCUGCCAGAGGGGGCGGUAAGAGACUUACCGUCGUUAACCGCCGUUUCAACCGGUGAUAAGAUGCUACCGCCGUUUGGUUUGGCGGUAUAGAUCUAUUUUUGCAAAUUUUUUAUUCCACUAUUUAUUUCUGCAAAAUUGUAAAAAAAAUGUAAAAAUAAAAAAAGUUCGCAAAUUGGAAGAAGCUUCAAGGCUGCAAAUUGGAAGGCCCACUUGAGAAAGCGGACGCUAGGUGGGCUUCCUUUCCUCCGUACCUAGACGGCGCGGUCAUCUCGGUAGUUCGUCGACGCCCCCGCCGGGCGGCAGCCGGCAGGUGCAAGCAGCUGUGCCUCUCUUCUUGUUUUUUUUUCUUUUUUUUACACUGAGCAGCAGCUGUGCCUUGGCCCUCGGUUGGGGGCAGGGCAGCCAGUGGCCAUAGAUCGAUCUGGCUCCGCGGUUGACGAAGUGACAAUGCAUUUCUCAGAGAAGAAGCGUACGAGAAGACGAGACCAGAGCGUCUAGUACGAACGGUGUUCAAGCUUGAGACUGCGUCAGGAGCUGAGAAAUGCGAGCGCAUACAGCCCAAAUUAGUACGUACCCGGCAUAACCGCGUACUGGCCGGAGAGCCGAGACCAACCGAGUCAGUCAACCGGCGAUGCUCCACAGUAGUCUUAAUACUGCAACUCAGGCUCAGCAAGUGGCCAAGGGUGGAGCUAGGCCCUUUAUCGGGGUGAGCUGACCCGAUGAAAUCCUGCAAUUCCUUAUUAAACUACGGGGGCGUUUGGUUCCCUUUGCUUAUUUUUAGCACGUGUCAUAUCGAAUGUUUAGAUACUAAUUAGAAGUAUUAAGCGUAGACUAUCUACAAAAUCCAUUACAUAAGUGGAGGCUAAACGGCGAGACGGAUCUAUUAAGCCUAAUUAAUCUAUCAUUAGCAAAUGUUUACUGUAGCAACACAUUGUCAAAUCAUGAACUAAAUAGGUUUAAUAGAUUCGUCUCGCCGUUUAGCCUCCACUUACGUAAUGGAUUUUGUAAAUAGUCUACGUUUAAUACUCCUAAUUAGUAUCUAAACAUUUAAUAUCACAGUUGCUAAAAAAAUUAGCAACUGUAACCAAACCAGUUGUAUAUGUUCAUCUACAAGCUUGAUCCCAUUAUGAUAAUGGAGCUGAUGCUGAUCCCGAAGCCGUUGAUGGCUAGCUUCGCCCCCCGCAAGUGGCAUUGUCAAUUCGAAAAUGCUAGGGGACGGGAGAAUCUCCAAAGCGGCGCGCAAGAAAGGCCCAAGCAAACCUGACAUGGAUUCCACCUCAAGAUCAAUGUUGACGCGGCUUUUUAGGCCCUCAACAGGCAGUGGCUGUCGUUGAGACGAGCAUGGCCAGGUGAAGCUCUCCUCUGUACAGGUUCGUUGCAACAUCACUGAUAUAGACGAAGCAGAACUUCUUGCAUUUGGCCGGCCCUCCAAUGGAUUCAAUAUGCUUCCUCCUUCAGUAAUGCAUCUUUUCGAUGCUAGAUGUGUUAGUUAAAGUAUGAGUUGUAUUAGGUCGUGUUUAGCAAACUCCUAGAGCUGAUUCUCUGCUGAAUUUAGCAGGAGCUCCGCCAAAUAGAUUUUUAAAGAGAAUUGAUUCCCUGCUGAUUCUGUGAAGUAAUUCUCUGAAAUAAACUAAGAAUCUAGGAGCUGAAAAAAGUAGUUUCUCCUAAUUCUAUGAAGUAAUUCUCCAUCCUAAUUUUAAGAGUUUAUGAUGCUAGAGAAUCACUUUCAACCACAGAAUCACUUCUCUCAAAGAAUAAGCUCCUAUAGAGAAUCAGAAUCAAAUGGGUAAUACCAAAUAGGCCCUUAGACUAGGACUAGCACAUUCUACUCUGAGUAGGUCUCCUUUAAAUUAUGUAAUUAUGAUUAGGAUUAUGACUCUAUGAACUUGAACUAUAUAAUGAAAGCACACGCGACCUUAAAGAUCACGUUUCAAUUAUUUUCCACAGAGUGUACCUCAUUUUCUCGGUCCAUAACACAGGCACACAGCUCUUAAUCGGUGCCUCAUUUUCUCCUCACUCUCAUCUCUCUCAUGUCUGUCUAUUACGUGGGAUGCAUCACGUGUGGCUCAGUUGUUCCAUUUCUAUUCUUUGUUUGUUCGUUGCGGGUUCAACCUUCAUAAGCCUAUGAGCAUUGAGGGUUAUAGAAAAGUCGCAUGCAUCUACUGAAUUUAUGAAGGGGUGCGUCUAAGGUUAGUUUUGUUAACUAGAUAUCUUUUCCAGAUACACAUAUUUCAUAUAUAAGCAAAACUCAUUUUCGAGUACUAAGCAAUAUAUAUAUAUAUAUAUAUGUUCCAAAUUAAUAUUCAUUUUACUUUUUUAAGUACUCGAUCCGUUCCAAAUUGUAAACCAUCCUAACUUUCUUGGAGAGCCAAACUAUUUUAUGUUUGAUCAAAAUUAUAGAGAGGAUCACAAAGGUUUAUGGCACCGAAUAAAUAUGCUAUGAAAAUAUAUUUAAUGAAGAAACUAAUAUUACUUAUUUGGUGGUAUCAUGAAUGUUAGUACUUUAUUAUAUAAAUUUGGUCAAACUUGAGAUGCUUGGACUCUCAAAAAAAAAUUGGAACGAAGGGAGUAUACAGAAAAAACUAUAUAUGUAUCUAAACAUAUGUAUCUAAACAUAGCGUAUAGCGUAUAUCUAGAUAUAUAGUACAAUUCAUGUAUCCAAAAAAUCCAAAAUAAAUAGUAUUUUGGGAUGGAGGGAGUACUUGCCAAUGCGUUCAGCCGCCCUGUCCCCACACAACCACAAAUCAGGCACAUUUUUUUCACUAAGGAGCUUAUUUAGACUUAUUCAGCAGAAACAAAUUGAGUAAAAUCUUAACUACAUACUUUUACAUUGCAAGAGUGAAGUGCAUGAUCAGGGCUAGUUCAUUCAGAUCCAGUACUCUUAAAUUACUUAUCUUACUUUCAAAUCUUGGCUCAGAAAUGUAAUUUAAUUAUUUCACUCACAUUAAUUAUUUCAUAGUGAGCAAACUUUUCUCUACACGUAUAUCAAAUCAAACACAUAAAUUGACAUAGGCAUAUAGAGAAUAUGAACCCGUCUGUUCAACAAAACAACGAGCGCAUUGACUAAAGCAUAGGUGUAUUUUUGAAGAAAAUUCAUAAUAGUGUUCAAUACACUUGCAAUUUCCUCCCUUGUAAUUCUAUGAACUUCGGUGCACCUUUUUGUAUUGUUAUAAUAAAAUGUAUUGUUAUAAUAAAAAACUAAAAAAAUUUACUAUUCAAUCAUGAAUAAAUUCUUCACAAAAUUAUUUCGUAAAAAAGGUCACAAAAUUAUUCAUGUGGAAUUUUUUGCCUCCACAGCAACCCUUCGCUCCACUCGGAGUCGCUGGUCUCGGCUAUACGCCCAAACCCUCGCCGUCGACUCUUGCAAACCCUUCUCCAUGGCGGCUACGGCAGCCGCGGGGGCCGCCGCCGCACCGCCGCCGCGGCAGUCCAAGCUGGAACCGCGGGAGGAGCUGCGCGUGGAGGUGCCCCCCGACGCGUCCCUCCGCGUGCGCCUCGUCGCCGGCACGGCGGAGAUCUUCGGCACCGAGCUGCCCCCCGAGGGCUGGGUCUCUAUUCCUCCCCGCUCCAAGAUCGCCGUAAGCACCACGCCGCCUCUCUCCACCACCCCUUCCCCAGCAAAAGGAACCACCACCUGGCACGCGCUGCUGCCUUCUGCCGGCAUUGUCGGUGCUGCUUGCUUGACUUGAUUCGCCGUUUCUGUUCUACCGAUUAGAUCUUCAGUUGGCACGGCGCGACGUUGGAGCUGGACGGGCCCACCGAGAGCGAGUAUCCUUCCGUGGAGGUGCGCCGUGGGGCUCGGUUUCUCCUCCUGGUCCUAAUUUCUGUGUAAAUUUAGGGUGAAAUGAGGGUUCCUGGUCUGACGAUUCUGUUGCUUGAUGCUGUAGACACCAAUGGUGAUUUACGUCAACACACACGCCAUUCUUGAUGCGCGACGGGCAAGGGCAAGGGCUGCUGCAGCACAGGGGGGUGAUUUGGAGGCCUCGCAGGUGAGUGCUCCUGUUUCAAUUUAGCUGGUGUCUCAUCAUGAUACAAUUGUAGGGAUUGUUGCAUUAUUGAGAAUCUGUAGGAGAUGCAGAGUAUUGUCUUAUAAAACAACUAGUUAGAAAGCGUGCCAGUUUUGCGAUUUUGUUCAUUAUCUGUAGGAGAUGCAGAGUAUUGUCUUAUAAAACAACUAGUUAGAAAGCAUGCCAGUUUUCCCUAGAGAUGAAAAGUGAUUGUAAAAGUACUUGAAAUUUGGCAUAACAUCGCCUUCAGUAAUUCUGUAGUUUUUUGUUGAAAAGCGUAUGUGAUGUUUUCUUAUGUGUUCCUGACAUGAUGUUCAAAAGACAGACUACAAUGUAAUCAUGCAUUAUUCUUUGUGACAAUAAAAAACAGAUCGCAACAUUGGCCUAUAUAAUUCCGUACGAGCAACUUGUGAUUAACCUAACAGGGUGAUGAUGGCCCUAGAAUAUUAGCAUAGAUUGAACAUGAACAUGAAUGUGAGCAUAAUAUGGUAUACAUAAACAUAACAAACUUUUGUUCUUGAUUGGGAUCUUUUACUUAUAUAUAUCUUCAUUUCCCUGGACUAAAUCACUGAAAUUUUCUUACCCUAUGUGGUUUAGGGACCUAGAGUGAUUGUUGUGGGACCAACAGAUUCUGGAAAAAGUACCCUCUGCAGAAUGCUCCUUAGCUGGGCUGCAAAAUUGGGCUGGAAGCCUACAUAUGUGGAUUUAGAUAUCGGCCAGGGGUCUAUAACGAUCCCUGGAUGUAUUUCUGCUACCCCAAUUGAGAAACCUAUCGAUAUAGUUGAUGGGAUUCCCUUGGAUAUGCCACUAGUUUACUUCUAUGGCCACCCAACUCCAAGGUAACUCUCCGGUGUAUUCUUUGGCAGUUCUUACUCACUACUGAGUGCUUUCUGUAUAUAAUAUAUUUCUUUCUACUGCGUUGCCACCUCAUCUGUUGCUUGUGUUACAAAUAGUAUCAAUCCGGAUGUCUACAAAGUUUUUAUGAAAGAGCUAGCUAAAACAUUGGAGAGACAAUUCUCUGGCAAUGCUGAAUCUAGGGCAGCAGGAAUGGUUAUCAAUACCAUGGGGUGGGUUGAAGGCCUUGGGUACGAGGUGAGUAGUUGGUUUCAAAUGACUGGUAAUUUUCACAAUGCUUGCUGGUGGCUAAUUUAUAUGCAUCAUGUGGUGAUUCUUUAUUUUUGCUCUGCAGUUACUUCUAAAUGCAAUUGAAACUUUCAAGGCCAAUGUAGUGCUGGUACUGGGACAGGCAAGUGAUGCAUUGACUUGUUCAUGCAAAGUGUUUUUCCAACAUGAGCAGUACUUUUCAUAAAAUCAUCCUUGUUUCAUUUCGCAUUGGCUGACAACCGCACUAUCAUAAUAUUCGAUUUGAUGAUAAUAUUAACUGUUCAGUUUGUAGCUAAGUAUAGUGUUACUACGCAUCCUAGGCAGGCAAACAUUUUGUUGUAGUACUGUGCUAUUAUCAAGGUAUCAUGUUAAUUGUUCUAAAAGAAAAUAAGGUGUCCUUUAUAGUGUUUGUGAAAUAAUGGAGAUCCCAUCGAGUAACAAAACGGUAAAUGUUUUGCAGCAUUAAGACGUGAUCGAUCUCAAGUUGAAACAAAACAUAGUCUGCUAGCAGUACUCCCUGGUAGCAUGCUUUCUAUAAACAGAUCAUCCACACUAGUAUGCUCCGGUUGCGCAUAUAGUGCGCAUACUGAAGUUAUGUGAUUUCCAGGGACAUUUCUGAUAAUUCUAGAUAAGUCAUUCAAAAGAAUGUUCUGUAUGUGCCAACUGGCACUCAGAAAGAUUUGAAGAAAUGUGCAUACAGGCACAUAACACCAAAUGUGCAGAAUCGCAUGUCAGUAGCAAUUGAAACUAUUAUUACAUUGUGAUUUAAUCUUGUCAAAUUUAGUGCUCUACGGAACUGUACCUGUUCGUCAUUUUAUUUUGAAUGUUGAGUCAUGGAUAAAUGAAAUUAUCAUAUAUGAAGCAGCUUAUCAGAAUUAUCUGAUCUAUCUCAUGGCUUUCAGGAGAAACUCUGGAAGAUGUUAAAGGAUGCAGUUCAAAGCAAGCCCAACAUUGAUGUUGUAAAACUUCAGAAAUCAGAGGGUGUUGUCCUCAGAAAUUCAAAAUAUCGCCAAAAAACAAGAAGCUUCCGAAUCAAGGUAAGCUUUAUUUUCUUGAAGUAGAAUUUGCCCAAUAAUGCCAUCGAAUUUUGUUGGUACCUAAUGUUAAAGGUAUCUAAUGAAAACUUGAAAUAUAGCUGCAUUAUUGUACACUGUCACUCUCUUUGCCUCUUUCUCCUUUUUUUCAAUAAUUUACAUGUAAUCCUUGCAACAUUUGUGGGGUAAUUAUUCACUAUAUCAACAUUAUGUCAUGCUCUGAGUUGUUAAAGCUAAGUCCUAAUGAGCUCUUGCAGGAAUACUUUUAUGGGAUUGCAAAUGAUCUGGCGCCACAUUCAAACAUUGUCAAUUUCAGUGAUGUCUCAGUGUACAGAAUUGGUGGUGGCCAUCAAGCUCCUCGUUCAGCAUUGCCUAUUGGUGCAGAGCCUGUGGCAGAUCCUACUCGGCUUGUUGCUGUCAACAUCAGCACGGAUAUGAUCCAUACAGUGCUUGCUAUUUCUUAUGCUAAGGAACCUGAUGAAAUAAUUUCUAGGUAAUAAUAUUGUACCCAUUGCUUAUAUUACAGGCUAUAGGGCCAGUAAGGUUUAAUGCAGAAGAGACUCAUACUAGAGAUAUAUCACAGAAGCUACAUUAUUUGUAGAGCAUAGCUGUACAGCAGCCUUAGGAAAAUGAAAAUACAUGAUGUAGGUAAUUGAGCCUUGGGACUUAUUUACAGUUGGUUAUUCUAUCACAUUUUUAAAUACUCCGUUUAUUUUGCUUUUCUUCAGACUGAUUUGCACUCAUAGCUUUUGUGCUUAUUUGUACAUCUUUUGCAUCAAGCUAUUCCCAGUUAUGGCCCUAACCUAACCAUAUGUUCCUGGUGACAGUUAUCCUUGCUUAUGUUACAAGAUUAGAACUGCAUAGUUUUUGAGUUUCGCAAGCAGUAAAUUGUACUUGAAUAGAGAAGAGAUAGGUCAAAGUUUUAUGAAGUUUAUGUCAUGCAGAAAACUUUCAUUUUUCUAGCGGCUCGGUCAGUGGUUAUAAAUUUCUAUAGGAAUGUGUUGUCAUGCUUUAGACAGUGAUAGCAAGGAUGAUUGUUAGGCCUGCCACUGGGUAGGGUAUGGGCAAACCCACUCUUGUUCACACCCAAAUCCAUACAAUUAUUAUCCACUCCUUAUCCUCCCCAAUCCCACCCAUAUCCGAUGGAUAAUUAACUUUGUACUACAUAUGUAUACAUAUCCAAUUGAUUAAUUGUACCCUCCUCAUACCCUACCCUCCCCAUUAAUUUUCUAACCAUACUCUCCCCAUUUGAAGUGGGUGUGGGUGUGGAUUUGGGGAGAGGGUAUGGAUACCCAGUGGCAGGCCUAAUGAUUAUGUUUCUUUUGGUAUGUCGAUAAGUCACAUGGGUUUUGAAUUAUUUCCUUGUGGCUGUAUUUCCCCAUGGUACUGUUUGAUUCAACCAAUACAAUUAAAAAAAUUGAUGUCCAGAUCUGCAGAAUUGGAGUAUCUUUUUCUCAUCGCAAGUUGCAUCUACCCGUUUGCUAACAUCUACAACAUGAUUUAUUGCAGCAAUGUUGCCGGAUUCAUCCAUGUCACAGAUGUGGACAUCCAAAGGUAUGCCUGGGAAAACCAGCGUGUUAGUAUGCAGGUUUAUAAUAUCCAGGUUCGCCUGGAACUAAUGUUCUUCAUUCCAGGAAGAAGCUGACGUACAUUGCACCUUGCCCGGGGGACUUGCCAAGCAGGCUGUUGAUUGCAAGCUCGCUGACAUGGUAUGAGGCCUGAUCGUUCAAGGCUGAAGAUUGUAGCUUAGAUGGGCAGUAUGCCCAGACGAGUAGAGUGGCAUUGCCGCAUGUUGUAAAGCCAGGACAUGUUUUAACGCUGGAACUGAGUGUACUGUGUUGAACUGCUAACCAACAGAAACGGUGCAAGGGCAAACAUUUUGGUUCAGGCGUAUGUUUUGCUGUGCUCCGAUUUACCUGACAAAAUACAACUGCUAUGCAAUUGAGAGUUUGAGAUAACACAAUGCUUGUCCUGGUUAUGUUCACCCUGUGAAAUUGUGCCUGUAAAAUGCCAUGCCCAGAUGUUCCAUCACCCAUCUCAAACAGCAAAACACGUCAAACAUGAACCGAAACACAUUGUAAAACGGUCUACGAAGCUUGCGCCAUCUGAAGAAUAAUCAGGAUAUGCUCAUUACAAGACGCCAACAAACAUUAUAAAGCAGGCGGGCACAUCAGACGCGAAUGAUGCAAACCCAAACCAAAAGCACCUCCCCAUCCGGACAGAAUUUAUUCAGCCAGGCAGAUGAUAUGAUGAUUCUGACCACAUGUUUUAGACCAAAACGAAAAACAAACGAGGGGUGAUUCUACUGCAACUUCCCUUCACUGUCUACAAAUAAUACAAAGUUGAAGUACAACAGAAAAAGAAAAAAUAUCCACUGGCAUUUAACUUUUAAUAUCUUGUAUAAAGAUUGAGAAGCAGCAAAAAAUCUCCAAACAAAAGAAUUGGGAGACAUACAGCUCGGGCUCACAGAACCCGUAUCUAAGGACAGAAGAUCUACAGACCCUGACACUGCGGAAGAGAGGAGCAUCAACACCGGUAAGUUAAGGUCACCACAAUUACAAAAAGUAGUCUGGGGUCUUGCGAGUCGUGUCCGGCUCAAUUUGCCGAGGCGCAGGGUCGAAUUGGAGGAAGUUCUGGUCCAUGUUCUCACCGAUUUCAAGAAUUGCAGCCAUGUUACCACAGCGGUAACAAUAGUUCGGUGCACUGAAGACUGUGACGACAUUCUUAUCCUGCAUGAAUUAUAACAGUAACUAUUCAAGCUUCCAGUGGGAUAAUAUAUGGGGGAACAUUCAAAAGGAAGCACACUAAAGAUACAUGAUCAGCAGUGUGCAACCAUGAAUGUAACAUCAAUACCCACAAGGGUGCCUAGGGCCAUGCUUACAACAAAGCUUUUACUCACUACAUCGGUUUUACAAUAGAAUACAUUGAAGUGUACUUAGUUGCAUGUAUUUGUAUAUCUUUGCAUGGGGUAAGUUGUAUAAGAAGGGAAUCUAGCAUGAGCGCAUGGCUAUAUUGUAACUGCAAGUUGCAAGAGAAGAAUUGCAAAUAGUACAUUCAAAAUAUAAUAUGCUUUUGGGGGAAAUCAAUACAGUUUCAUUAACUGUGAGCAGAUAAACAAAUUGAAAAUGCAAUACUGCAUUCUGAAGACCCACCUGUGCCCAAUUGUAUCCUUCCAUUACAAGUUGAUGGGCCCUUGAGAUGAGAGAGAGACCAUUUGUAUGGUUGAACUGCUGUGCAAUGUCUUGCCCAAAUGUGUAACCUGCUCCUCUUGGUGAAAUUCCCCAACCACAUCUGUCAUCUGGGUCGGACCACAAAAGAUCACACAUGGGUCCUUCAUGAGGAACCUGCAUGCAUUUUUCAGAAUAUGUUAAUUAGCUGAGGAUAAAAAAAAUAUAAGAUGUACAACACAGUUAAUCUACUCCAUGUAAAAAUUAGAAAGUCAUUCAUUAAAGACCCAUCACCAUAAAAAAUAUAAGAUGUAUAACACAGGUAAUCUACACCGUGUAAAAAUUAGAAAGUUAUCAAUUAAAGAUCCAUCACCAUCAGGCAUCGUUUCCUAGUCAAGGUAAGGGGUACUAUCGGCUCAACUUUUGUUAUCAUGCAUAAUGAUCCACAUAACAAAUUAUGGUGACCUAAAAAAAAGGUCUCUAAUGAGGAACACCCUGUAGUAGAAGUACUGGAGAUUCAGGGCAUCUUCUUAAAAUAGCUCAAUACCACAUGUAAAUGUUCCACAAAUAAGUAUAUACAUGCCGCCAGAUGAUAAUUAACAAGCAAACAUAAUUGCACAGAGAGUGACUUCAUCCAAAAAAUGAGCAAUAAUUGGCCACUUUACUAAUAGCAAUGAGCUCGGGCUCAAUAUUAGCAUCCAUGGUAAAGUAAACAAAGUACCCCUACCCCUUAACUAAUACUCUGUCCCAAAUUAUAGGUCGUUUUGGCUUUUUUAGAUUCAUAGAUUUUGCUAUGCACUUAGAUAUAUGCUAUGUCUAGAUUUGGAACGGAGGAAGUACUAGACUAAGCAACAUACAGAAAACAGAUAGGAACCUCUGAGGAGAAGUCAUAUCAAAGGAAUAGCCCAACGAUUAUAAUUCUUAUGCCAUAGUAGUAAGGGUAUACCACAUAUCUAUUCAAAACAUCUAACUCAUCACUAGUCAGACAAUAGUAUAUUUUCGUUUUCAAUCAGAAGGAGCAUAUCUAGUUCACCACUAAUGUAGGAUAAUCAGAACUCAAAUUUCAAUCACUGGAUCAACAGUAACAGCACAGAGUAUAGAUCAAGGUACAUCCCUUGUUAUACGAGGGCAAAUUGAGUAAGUGACAGAAUUCAAGGUUUUGAAGUGUUGGAGCAUGUUGGCUUUUCAAUAUGAGCUUUUAAGAUUCAAGCAAAUGCCUAAAUUUGCAGCUUUUUAGUUGUUUUACUUUAGCUCUCCUGAGACAAGCCCACUUCAUCAAAAUAUUAAGGGAUGCUAAAUGACCCUCCAAAAUCAAAAGUUGUUUCCAACUUGUAUCAACAUGAUCUUAGAUAGUCAAAUACCACACAACAGUUAUCUGUGCCAACAUCUAUCUAGUUAACUGAAUAUUAUGGUUAUGGCACCAUGUUUGUACCUAAACUAAGGCUCUACAGUUCUGCACAUGAACAACCAAAAAGUUUGACCAGUGGCUGAUCUAUUAUGUGUGCAUAGCCAACAAUACAUAAAUAUACUAUUAUCCAAAUAUCACAAUUAUUUACAGCAUACAACUAUACAAGAAAAAUGAUGAUACUGGACAUGGAAAAGAAGAAAACCUAGUCCAUAGUGAAAGGGGUACACUGUUGCCUACCUCUUGUAUGCGAUCAAGAGAACGAAUGUUAUCCAAUGUAUCCAAUGAUGGAGAGAGGCCACCAUGAAGACAGAAGACCUGCAAUAUGGAUGUUUUUCAUAUUUCACGCAUAUAUUAGCAAGCCUAUAACAGCAUCAAUCAUAACAAAUUGAGGUGCCUACCUGAUUUUCUAUAAGAGCUGUGAGAGGCAAAUAAUCGAACAAGUCUGUAAAGUACUUCCAUACAUUUGCAUUUCCAUAUUUUCUUAAGCAUUCAUCAUAGAAGCCAUACCUGUACAAAAUAGUCAAGCUCAAGAACUAUGCGGUUCCAUUACAUGCAUCACUACAAAAUUCACAGAAUAAAUUGUAAAAGAAACAGUGUACAGGUGCAGCAUGUGCAUGUGCCAUGCAAUUAUGAUUUGGUAUGUGUAAGUGAAGUUCAUUUCAAUGACCAAUAGUAACAGCAGUAACUCCAUGGGUGACUAUAAGGAAAAUCACAAUGAGGGCAUUAAGUACAUCAGUGUGUUACUAGGGCACAAAAUUCAUGGCAAUAAGGUGGCCACAUAUCUAGCUGGAUGUCUUCCUGUAAACAAAUAGUUCACAAUGCCAAGCAUAAUGACACAACAAUAGCAUUAUAAUUCACCAAACCAAAUCAACACAUUUUUGCUACCAAUAGUCCAGCAUACAGAAGGCAACUUAUCAAACAAGUGUUGGUAAAGUCUUUAUCUACAAUAACAUGUGCUUUAUGUGGAAUAAUCCAGUUCCGAAUUAAAGAUUUACUAUUUUAGACAUGUUACUUCGGGACUCGGGAGUGAGAUGGCAAGAUAGUAUCAGAUAUUCUGGAAAAAAAAUAAGAACCAUCUAUAUCACUUGUAGCUACUGCAUUGGUACUAAUGAAAGCAGGAAGUAGCAAUUAAGAGUUGCAAUACAAAAUCCAAAUACUACUAGGAGAUGUAGACUCACACUUGAGUGAUUUGUCUGCUCUCAUGAUUUCCUCUAAGUAUCGUAAUUCUAUCUCUGUACCGGACUUUCAAAGCCACUAACAGAGAAACCGUUUCCACUGAGUAGUAGCCACGAUCUGCAGUAAAGAGCCGCACAAUCAAUUUAACAAACAUGACAGAUAUGCUAGGUAAACUAUACAUGGAAAUGAAAACAGACUAAAUUAUUCAUUUCCUUGACCCAGAAAAAUACAAAUUUUCUUUCAAGCAUUCAAAUAAACGACAUUGCGUAUGGCAUCAGCGUAUCUAAAUUGCCAAGAGAAUCAGGUGACAGUUUUUUCUUGUCUUGCACAUAAUAAAGAUCAGCCCGGAAACGACAGACUAACAGUUGAGCACACUCACAUAUCUUACGAAACUGCUGGAGCAGGAAUCCAAAUGCCGGUAAAUGGGAACUAUUGUCUUCUCAACAGCUAAAGGAACAGAAAAGGCAGGGCGCCGACAAGAUCCUAGCACGCUAGACCGCCAAAAAAGUGACAUACAAGCAGCACAGGGCAUUGGCCUCCACAAGUCGAAACACAAAGAACUCCAAUAGCCUACGUAAGCAGUAAAGAUGUUCCCUAAUUUCCUGAGAGCCAAAUUCUUCCGACAAUCCGGCCGGCCGGCCGCACAAGAGCCAAUAAACUGUUCAGGUUUUUCGCAGGAUCUAAAAAUCCCCUACAUCGGCCGCACCAAUCCCCGCAGAUGACAGAUCCGCCGAAUCAAGCAUCGGCAGGUUUGAGCGCGCGAGCAAGAGGAGCAGGGGCAGCCGCGUGUGAGGAAGUUAGGGUAGGGACGCGUAGCCACGCACCGACGUAGUCGCCCAUGAAGAGGUAGUUGGUGUCGGGCGCGUCGCCGCCGAUGCGGAAGAGCUCGAUGAGGUCGUAGAACUGGCCGUGGAUGUCGCCGCAGACGGUGACGGGGCAGCGGACCGGCUGCACGUUCCACUCCUCCAUGAGGAUGGCUUUGGCCUGCUCGCAGAGCGCCUUGACCUCCGCCUCGGGCAGGUACUUGCAGUCGCGCAGCUGCGCGAUCUGCCGGUCCAGAUCCCCGUGCGACGGCAUCUCGCCCGCCGCCCGCUCCCCCCGACCGCUGCAGAUGUUGGGGUGGGAGGUGGGGGGCGACUCCCUCUCCGGCCGGCGAGCCCGCCGGCGGUCAGGUCGGGGCUAGGGUUUGCGGGGGAUCGGCGUGGGACGGGGAGGAGGCGCAGCUCAUGCCUCCAUUUUUUUUCGGCCGCUGCUUUGUUUUAUGCGAAGCGAGAUUUUUCCUCCGCUUCCCAGGUGCGCAGAGACAGCAGGUUGGGGUGGGGUGGUGUGUGGUUUUGUGGUUUUGGAGGGGUGGAAAUGUAAUUAGCAGGGGCCGAGUGAGCUGGUCAAGGAAGACUUCGCGUAGGUGGAAAUGUCAUGCUUCUGCCAGCUUUGCAGGGGCCAUCGUGAGCUAAUCCAUGCCUCAUGAGAUAUAAGAAAUAUAGAUACCUGCUCCUAAUCUACUGACUCUUAGUUCGCUUACUUCACAUCCUAAUCUGAUUUAGAAUAUUUUAUAAUAUUUGUAUACAUUCUACAUGACCUGUUUGAACGGUGAAAUCUCAAUUUUUAUACACAUGCAUUAAAAUUUCUGGUAAGAUUCAAUACUAAUGAAAUUCCUAUCUUAGCUUUUAUGAAUAUGCAAGUUAUUAUGAACAUAAUAGAUUGUCCACAAAAUUUUCAGCUCAUAAAAAAACUGCAAGGCUAAAAUAAAUACUCGGUCAUUGAUUAUAAUAUACUCACCAAUUUAUGCCUGAGUGUAUACACUCUGACAGCCUGACAUCAUGGCCUAGUUGCUCCAAGAAACAUGAGCAAUCAACCAAUGCAAGUAUCCUUCCGCAAUUUGUUCCAAAUAAUAUAGUCAAUGACUACAAAUUAAUUUUUAGAUUCAGAUAGUAAAAGCACAGCAGUCGACCUAUUAUCUUCGACUAAAAAUUUCAAAAUAUAAGGACAAAUCAUAUUUAAGCAUCAUCUGGGCUAAAAUCCUUGAUAAAAAAACCAUGAUUAUUGUAAGGUAUAUGAGAGAGGGCGUUGUACUAAGACAAACACAAAUUGUAGAAGAGAAGGCACUGCACCUGAGUGAUUAUGAACUAUGCCCCUAAGAAGUACCACAGUAUCCGAGUGACCCACGAUAAGCUCCUCAAUCAUAUUAUAAAAUAAGUGGAGUAAGAAGAUCCCUCUUAUCAUUAAUUUACAUCUCUUAUCAUUAAUUCUUGUGAUUUAAAAAGUACCCGUGCAGAUCAGCAACGACGUGUUUAAGUGAAUAUUUCUCGUCAUCUUACGCAUAUGGUUCCCAGUUGUGGAUUGCUCUCCUGGUGAUGCAGUAGUGGGCAGUGGAGCUUCUUGUUGAGGCCGAAGCGGCUGGCAGGUGGUGGUGAGAGUUGCUGACGAAGACGACGUCAGUUAGCGCUGCCUCUGGUUGAGGACUAUUGCUGGGCAUGCGAGUGAAUCCAAACUGGUGGGUGGUGGCAUGCAUCACUAUGGCCAUGCGAGAUCUGCUGCACGUCAUGGGGGAGCUCCUCCACCACUAUGCUAUGCUUGUGACACCUCCCCCGCCGGAUUAGCUUCAGGUUCUAGCAAAGGGUGACUGCGAUGCGACGCGCCACCACUGCGGGAAGUCCCAGCGCCACCGCUAGGAAAGCUGCCAGUCCAUCCUCGUCGGAAGCCGCGGCACCCCAUCACCCACGUGCGGUGGUGUAGCUGCGCCAGGACCACCCCUUGGGCCCAACACCAACCAUGGCCACGCCGGUUGCGCUGCUCCGUCAGGCGCUCGACUACUACUCCAUCCCCGCCCUUGCGCUCAGCAGCUAUUACGAAAAAGCUGAGGGACUUUGCAAAUCAACAACGAACUACGACAAUUUAACUCCUAGGAUUGCGGGUUGAUUACGAAAAAGUUGAGAGACUUUUGCAAAAUAACCGCGAAAGAAGCAACCACAUAUAUAGAUCUAUUUAAAGACUGACGUAAUCAUGAGUUUUAGAGGGAACUGGUUCAAAUAUAUUAGUAUCGAAUAUUAAUAAAUCUCAAAUGGCACUUUGUUUUUUAUAAAAAGUGAUGUUGAACCGCGAUAAAAAGGCUAAUUAUAUUGGAUAUUAGAAAACUAAAUAAACAAUAAUAGUUAAAAGAAAAUGACAUAAGACAACAAAAGUAUAAUAGAAAACAACAUGCAUAGUUGAGUGAGUUUAUUUUUUUAAAACAGUACUCAAAGCUAGUGUUCCAUGCUGUAUUCAAAUUAAAUAACUGUACAAGACAAUUAUAUUAUGUAAUUUUAAGUUAUUUAUUAAUUUACACCACUCCAUAAUUUAAUAAUUAUUUUUUAUUAAGUUUAGAUAAAAUAUAUUAUGAAUUGAGAGACAAAAAAUGAUCGGUCAUGCUGGAAAAAUAAUUGUAAGAGUUAUCUUGCAAAGUUCUUUAUAUGACUGUAUGUAUAUUAAAAAAAUUUCUUGCUUAGGUAAGUUAUUAUUGAGUAGUAAUGUCUAUUGUCCAAGUCUUGUCUUUUUAAAAUCAUGAUUGCUUGAACAUAUGAAUGGAUUUCGAUUAAUAAAUAGAGGAAAAAAAACGCGUGAAGGGCUUGGGCUCUUCACUAGCAACCAGCCGUCUCAGCGCCGCCCAAAAAACCCUCCCAAAUUCGCAACUGCGCAGUCCGGAGACGGGCGGGGGUCAUCAGCCAUGGCGCCGCCGCCGCCGCAGCGUAAGAAUCCCAGCCGUGGUCCCGCGGUGACCGGAGGGAACGGGCGGCCCCCGCGCCGGAUGGCGAGUCGGGAUGCGGCGGAGCGCGCCGCGUUCUUCGCUCGGCGCGAGGCAGCGGCGGUGCUCCGUCGCGUUCUCCGCGGGGACGCCACCAGGCGCUCCGCGGGCUCAAUCAAAUCCCUCGUCUACUCACCUACUGUACGAAACAAGCGGGCCACCUUCGCGCUCGUCUGCCAGACCCUCAAGUGUAAGUAAGCGCAGCCCCAGCUUUCAUCCGGCUGCCUUGGUCGGAGCUCGUGCGCAAGGUGUUCGACGGAAUGCUGAAGCAGAAACUGGUGCCGCAGUCCCUUGCAGGUGUCUGAUUGGAUGCCUUAGUUGCGUGGCUUCUUGUGUCGUGGUGGUUGGGUGGGUUGUUGUAUGCAGUGUGGAGUUGUAGCCAUAAUCGUAGCAAGCAAAACAGCAUGCAAUGGAGCUGUUGAUGCACGUAUAUGCAGUCAUACCAUAUCUUAUAUAGGUCAGGCUUGUAUGUCGCACAGUACAAGAAGCUGUGCUGACUUCACUGGUUGACACUUAAUUUCCUUUUGCUCAAGUCAGUGUCUUUGAAACAAAUCAGAUUUGACAAGUUAAUGCAGCCACACCUGAGUUACUUGGUGUAGUUGGGAUAGUGUCAUGUUAGUCCAUCUGAACGUGGCGAUUUUGUGCUGUUGCAGUUGAGCUAACGGCAAUUUAGUAUUCUGUUGUACAUCGAGGUUUAAUUUUUUGUUUUAUUCUGUUAACUUCUUCCCUCAUGUUUCUUUGUUUCCUUUUAUCAGAUCUUCCGAUUCUUAAGGAGGUUUUAGGAUCGAGUGGAGUGCUAAAUAGCAAAUGGAAGGUCAGCCAACUGAAUCAAAUGUUCUGAUGGAGUUCAGUUCCUUCUUGCUGCAUCUGUUUUUACCACUGCUAUUGACAGCUUAAAAUGCUGACUUUAAAGUUUAGGAAUGCCUCUUAAUUAGAAAUGUGUAACAACUUCAGGGAGCAAGGCACAAGUUCACCAUGUUUUCUACUUUUACUUGCAGAAACAGGAGGAAUUGGUUGUUGUGACUGCCUAUGACAUUCUCUUUGGUCAGGUAUGUCACUUUUUUAGACCUUUGAAAUGAUCAGAUUAGUUGAACAAUUUGUGUGCAUUUACUUUAUCUAACCCUUAUAAAUUGUUAAUUUCAAAUAUCGUUGCUGUAAAAUGUUUAUACUUUGAGUGGUAGAUUGGAUUAAGUACUUGUCUUCCCAAAUAGUCAUUUUCUUCUGUUGAGACACCUGUUCAAGUUCAACAUGUCAUUGAACUUCAACAGUUAUGUUCUUUUUGCUCUUCUUCCCGUUGCAGAAAUUCUGACAUAAAAUGACAUUUCUAGGGAACUGCAGUUUCUGGAUCAGCUGAGCAGUUAAUCUUGGCAAACAAAGACAUUCUUAGUAGUGCUCUUGAUAGAAUUUGUGCAAAAAGGAAUGUCAGCAGUGUUGAAGACUUGGUAGGCCAGAAAACAGCAGGUGCCCUUCCCUCUUAUCUGCUCCUUUUGUAGCUUAUUAUCAUCAAUUGCUCCUGCGAUAUGUGUAUUUCUAAAUUAUUAUCUGGUUGUCAAGACUAGGAUUGCAGCCAUGUUUGGUUGUGAAGAUUAGGACUAUAACCAUGCUUGGUCAAAGGGUGUGUAUAUCACAUCUGCUUGUGUGCAUUGCUUGAUUUAUGUCUAAUUAUCAGUGAUAUAUAAUCCUCAGUAAACGUAUGUCAUAUGCUACUAAAGUUAUUCGUAGCUUUGCUGUUCAUUAUUCUCUUUUCUUUUCAGUCAAACCAAAGCCCAGGUUUCUUCGUGUUAACACACUCAAGACCACUGCUGAGUCUGUGAUUGAAGAGUUGAGCAAAAUACACAUGGUAUGAAAUCUAUCUUUUAAUAUUUAGCAAGAUUGUUGAUCUAAGUAGCAUCGCUCUCAUUUGAUGUUUCUUUAUGAAGCUGUUUUUGCAACUGCAACCUUUUACUUUUGAGCUGUACUAUUCUUAGUGCGACUUGACCAAGUCACUCUGCACUAAAUAGGUUUAUAAAGAUGAUAUGGUUCCAGACAUGUUGGUGCUUCCUCCUGGAACUGACUUGCAUAGCCAUCCAUUGGUCACGAAUGGGAAAGUGUUUUUGCAGGUGACUUUGUGAUUCUCAAGUGUUUACCUUUUGGAAGGACAUGUAAUUAAUGGUAAUUUCCCCCCUCAUUUGGAUCUUCACAGGGCAAAGCUAGUUGUAUGGUAGCGGUUGCACUGAACCCUAAGCCAGGCUGGAAGGUUAGUAUCUCUGUUGGACUAAAUUUUACUGAUAUUUUUACUAUUUUACAAUCAUUUUCAGCUCAGAGAAAAAAUAUUUUAUUUAUAUUACCAUCUGACUUGUUGGUUUAGAAGUUUACAGAAUGAUACCAUCUGGAUUAUACUACUGCAUGGGUUAGUACGUAGUAUACAACUUCACAAAUGGUUUCCCUUGAGGUUUUGUUGCUAUUCUGUUCAUAUCAGAAGAGGCUGCAAUAUACUUGAUAAAUUCCUACCUAUGCAUGUUCUUAAAUCACAAAAAAUGUUGCUAUUCACUAUUCAGGUAGUAAUAAGAUAUAGUGGUACUUGUAUAUUUUUACCUACUAUUUGUGUUGUUUUUAUUUUGCGAAUAAAGUGUCUAUGCUUAUUUGUUGGUAUUGUUGUUUUACGUCUGUCAUGUCUAUUGUAAACAAUGCUGUGUUCUGAUGUGCUGGAUGAAAAAAAUGCCACUCUUGCUGUAUCACCUUUUAGCUAUGUAAUGCCAAAUUAUUAAUUUCCAAUUGAACAUAAAACUUAGGUUAUUGAUGCGUGUGCGGCUCCAGGGAACAAAACUGUCCACCUUGCUGCCCUCAUGAAUGGAGAGGGGAGUAUUAUAGCUUGUGAACUUAACAAAGAGAGGGCCAAGACAUUGCAACAUACUGUCAGAAGAUCUGGAGCAAAUAGUAUCCUUUCUUUAUUAUCCUUAUUAGUUAUAUAUUGAAGUUGCACUUAUAUUUUCUUUUUGUGUAGCUUUUAACAUUAAACCAUCCUUAUCUCCUUGAUAUAAUUCUGAUAUACCAUUUGGAUGUUUAAAGUACAAAUUUAUCUUUGAAUUUGUGCAUAAUUGCUGUACCUAAAUGUCUAUCAUUGAACCUAUAAUUGUUGAUACAACUUGUCCUGGUAGACUUUAUUAGAAGUUCUACUAAAGCUAUCAUCUACUGUUUGUCUAUCUUAGUCUUUUCUUGUUAAUUUCUUCUUGAAAACAUAAAAGAAUAUAAAUCUAUCUUCAGUGGAGCUAAAUUGUCAGAUGUGGUGACUAGUUAUUUGAUCAUCAUUUGAUGAUGUGUUCCUUACUCUACUUCUUUGCCAUAUAUGCUAUCCACUCGUCUUAUAAUAUUUAUGGCAUUUGAUACAUGAACAUCUUUCUUAACUUAUUUUUAUAGAUAUUCAAACAGUUAAUGGUGAUUUUCUGGAUAUAGAUAGCAAGGAUCCAUCAUAUGCUGAGGUUCAUAGACCCUUCCACUUCUUUUGAUAACUUACAAACCUAACUGGACACAUGUUCUGUAGAAUUUCCUUCAUCUUGCAGAACAAUAAUAUCCGUAAUUUUGUGGUGCAAUGGUGUUUGUUGCAGGUCCGUGCAAUUCUGUUGGAUCCCUCUUGCUCUGGUUCUGGAAUAUCUACAGAGAGACUUGACUACUUGCUUCCUUCACAUUCUAGAGGUAACUAAAUGCUUUUAUGGCAGCAGUCCUGCAACAUGUAUGUAUUUAUCUCAUCAAUUUUAAAACUUGAAUUCAACAUAGAUUGCCACUCUGUAAGAUGGGUUGUUAUCGCAGUUUCACAAUACUUACAGUAUGUGUGUUGAACACAUGGACUUUGUCCUAGCCAUCUCCGCAAGACAUGUAAACGUAGUUUUAGUUCAUUAUCUUGUGCAAAAAUAAGUCCUUGAUUUUUUUGUUACCAUCAUUGUGUUAUCAGUUGUGUUGGACUUUAAUUGUGGACUGCUGAGCUAGAUUAGCCUUCUGUAGCUAGCAUAUGUUUACUUUGUCAAAUUUGACUUGAAACUGUGAAACACAUAACUGUAUUGUCAAGCAUGAUCUUUAUUACCAGCAUUCAGGAACACAACCUAGUUUUAAGGAGGGGACUUUUUUUUUUGGUGUGGUGUGGAAAAUCGUGUGGUGGGGGUGGUCCUCCAUUUUAUUAGCUUUUGGUUGGAAUGUUUAGCACGGAAACAAACCUUGUUCUGCAGAUGAUCAGGAUGAUGCGAGUACAAGCUCAAGGGUCAUGAAGCUCUCCGCUUUCCAGAAGAAAGCUCUUUCACAUGCUCUAUCAUGUAAAUUCCAGGUCUAGUCAGUUUAUGUGUUGGAUAAUCACAUAUCAGUGCAGAAGCUGAAGCUUCUCUCCACCUUAUCUGUAGUUCCCUCAGUGGCGAGGGUGGUCUACAGCACCUGCUCGAUUCACCAGGCAGAGAAUGAGGAUGUCGUGAACGCCGUCCUGCCCUUAGCCACAUCACUCGGGUUUGAGCUUGCCACUCCAUUUCCACAAUGGCACCGUCGCGGCCUCCCCAUCUUUGAAGGAUGUAUGUUAUCUACAUCCCAACAGUUUAACGCCACUGCCAGUGAAAAUUUCAGAACGUAUAUCUAACCAGUAACCAUGGCUUCCCUCAUUUGCUUUGCAGCUGAACAUUUGCUUCGGACGGACCCAGAGGACGAUCUGGAGGGCUUCUUCAUUGCCUUGUUCGUCAGAAAAGCCGCAAACGGUGGUGUAGAAGAACCUAGUGAAGAUGUUGCAGUAGAAGUGCCAAGAAAAGUAGUGCUUAGAAGGCGACACGGGCUUAGGACGUUCAGCUCAUUAAGGUUGUCCAGGAUGAUCCUCUGCUCUAACCGGGUUCUCUGGUGAAGGUGUUCUAGAAGCAUUUUGUAGCAAAUUUUGGAAGUAAUAGCUAGUUUGAACUUUUCGCAGACAAUUGAUUUCAUUCUUUUCUUUUAAUGUAUGGGGAUGGGGGAAAAAACUGAUAACUGAUAUCAUGUUGCAUACCAUGAGCAGAAGUACUCUAGCAGUGUUUUACAUCCAUGUUCCGUAACUAUUGUAGACUCUUAUUCGAUGAUACACUAAUCCAUUGUUAUACCAAGCAACACACGAUGACAAGGCGUCAUAUCAUCACACUCAUUCGCUCGUCAUCCAGCUGAGUCAUCAGCUGAUGAUGAGUAUCGAUCACGCAUAACGUCGCCUCCUUCACUUUCCCUGCUGGUGGCCGGCCUUGACCUGGACGACGCGCGGCUUCUUGGGCUCGGGCGGCGGCUUCUUGUCGACGGUGACGGUGAGCACGCCGUCCUUGUACUCGGCCCUGAUGUUGUCCAGGUCGGCCCUCUCCGGCAGCGGGAACCGCCUCAUGAACUUGCCCAUCCGCCUCUCCAUCCUCAGGUACUUGACGCCCUGCUGCUUCUCGCUGGCGCCGGCGCCACCAUCGGCCGCGGCCUGCUGGCCGCCGUCCUCGGCUGGGAGCUUGCGCUCGCCGCUGAUGGUGAGCACGUUGCCUUCCUCGACCUGGACCUUGACGUCGGCGGGGCUAACCCCGGGCAUGUCGACGGCGAGCACGAUCGCGCCGGAGGGCAGCUCCUUGACGUCCAUGGGCGUGUUGGCCAUGGCGCGGCGGUCGCGCACGUAGGCGCGCGUCGGGGCGCUCAUCUGCCGCUCCAGCUCGUCGGGGAGGUCCAGCAGCUGCUGCACCGCCGCCGAGAACACCGGGUCGCCGAAGCCGCCGAACGAGAACUCCAUAGCUCCUAGCCUACUAGUUAGCUAAAAAGAACUCUGGCUUGUGUGGAUCAACAAUGGCUGGUGAUCUGAGCUCGUGUGAUCUCUCUCGUUGUUCUUGCGGUUGGGUUGGGGUGUGGGAGAGGGUUAAUAUAGGGAUGGGACUAUGGGAGGGAAGAGUGUGGAGAGCGAUGGAAGUGUGGGGGUGUUCUGCCGGUUGGGUGGGGUCGUGGGGAGCUGAUGAAGUGAUGAGUUGGCGGGAGAGACGGAGAAGGUUCAGGUGGUCUCCGGAGGUGGCUUUCGCUUUUCUUGCUGAUCCACCUGGGUUUCUGUUCCUGCCUUGCUGGGCUGCUUUCUCUUCUUCGUUGACUGUUCUUGUAUUGUGACGUCACAUGGCCCAGGCAAAGUAGCCUACAAGUUCUGCUACAAAGCGGCCCAAACAUGGAAAGUCAUAUGUAGUUACGUGGGCCAAAUCUUAUAUUCCGAGCCCACCCAGGCCUCGUUAGAGUUCUAUCAUGGCCCAACUUAGGCCCUGUUUGGCACGGCUCCACUCCUAAACUCCAGCAACUCCAUCAAAAAAUUCAGCCAAACACCCCAACUCCAAAACUCCAUGGAGUUGCCAACUCCAUGGAGCUGUAGUGCAAAUGGAGGUGGAGUUUUGGAGCACCUCUUUUGCUACUCCAGAAACCUCUCCUUUGAACCUCCUCGUGGAGUUGGUGGGUAAUUACCCACCAAUGCCACUGGUUACACAAAAAAAUGUUUCAUUCUAUUCUCCCUUCUAUUCUCCUGAGCCCCACUCGCCGCCAGAGCCCCGCCCGUCGCCACCCCCGUGGCCGGCCGGCCCCGCCGCCCGUCGCCGCCCGCCGCCCAUCGUCGCCCCCGUGGCCGGUCGGCCCCCCCCGCCCGUCGCCCGUCGCCGCCCGCUGCCCGUCGCCGCCCGCCGCCCGCCGCCGCCCGCUGCCCGUCGCCGCCCGCCGCCCGCCGCCGCCCGCUGCCCGUCGCCGCCCGCCGCCCGCCGCCGCCCGCUGCCCGUCGCCGCCCGCCGCCCGCCGCCGCCCGCUGCCCGUCGCCGCCCGCCGCCCGCCGCCGCCCGCUGCCCGUCGCCGCCCGCCGCCGCCCGCUGCCCGUCGCCGCCCGCCGCCCGCCGCCGCCCCCCGUCGCCCGUCGCCGCCCGUCGUUGCCCGUCGCCGCCCGUCACCGCCCGCCACGCCCGUCGCCCGUCGCCGCCCGCUGCCCGUCUAUUCUCCCGAGCCCCACUCGCCGCCAGAGCCCCGCCCGUGGCCGCCCCUGUGGCCGGCCGGCCCCGCCGUCCGCCGCCCGUCACCGCCCGUCGCCCAUCACCGCCCGUCGCCCAUCGCCGCCCGUCAUCGCGCCCGUCGCCGCCCACCCCGCCGCCCGUGGAGGGUCUCCCGUGUGCGGCACAGUGUAGUGGAAAAAGGGGAAGAAGAAGAUAGGAUAGAGAGGAUGACAAGUGGGGCCUUAAUUGGGGGGCAACAAUGGCAAUCCACACUGAAAUCGAUCUUUUUUGGAGCUAAGAGCACCCAUCUAGCCAAACACCCCAUUUUUGUUCUGGAGUUUUGGAGCGGAGCUGGCUCCAUGUGGAGUUCUGGAGUGGAGCAGCUCCACCCGGAGUUGGAGCCAUACCAAACAUGGCCUUAAACAAUUGCAAUUACAACAUUUCUUUUUUUUUAUUGCUAGAAUAUUUUUCUCAUGAACACUUUCUUCUACUAGCGGAACAUUUGCACAUACUCGAAGCUGUAAUAAGUGAAAAAUGUUACACCUGAAAGGGGCAGGUGCGAAAAACAUUUCAGCCCUAGAAAAAAACACGUCCCACCGGUGGAGCAUGCUGUACUGUAGGCGACGUGGCCGAAGUUUUUUUCUGCCAGGUGUGCCAGCGCCUGACCAAAAAAGAGUGGCAAACAACUCAGUGGAUCAGAAUCCGCUUAGUGCCAUGAACACUUUGCACGGCAUGCUGAGUAGAGUUGUCGCGCACGGCGCAUCCGAUUCCGCUCAAACAUCUCUUUGUUUUUGUUAUUUUGCACAAAACAUGCUGAGUGGCCAAUGCAUCUAAAAGAUGAGCCAUAGUAAAUUAUGUUUGCGUGUCCUUGAAAACUUAUCUGUAAUUCGUGGCAGGACGGCUCGUGGAUAGGAUAGGAGAUCGGAGAGCAUUUGUUGCACGGCUUGUUGUUUAUUACAGAUCUGUUGUUCGAGAAAAAAAGAAGCUGUUUACAGAUAUCCGUUUUAAGCGAAACAAAUCUGCCGCAAACCAUAAAUCCACGGGAAGAAAAAUCCCUCGCAAGAGAUCCGAGUUCCAACUCAAAUCUCAAAUCAAUCCACAGGAAAAUCGUGCGCCGCUCAGCCGUACCGGUGCCGUGCCCGCUCUACUCUCUCUCUCUCUCUCCCCGCCGCGACGCGUCCGUUACGGGUAACGCCAGCGGCGGGGCCCACCAACCCCGUGACGAACAAACUCUCCUCCGCGUGAUCCCCGCCGGAGGAAUCGGCGUUGCGAAUCGUAAAGCAGCUUAACCCCUUCCCUUCUUUUUUACAUCUUCCCUCGCCCAAAGCCCAACCCCCUCCCACCUCCGCUAAUCAUCGCAUCGAGCGCUCGCUCCCUCCUCCUUCCCCCUCCGAAGUCCGCGAGGUUUCGCAAACUCUUCCUCCUCCCGGCCGCACCCAUCCAGUUCAAUCCAGCGAUGGCGGCGGCGGCGGCGGAGCAGACCGCCGAGCAGUUCAGGGGCCAGGCGCGGCUGCCCGGCUUCGCGGCGCCGCGGCGCUACGACCUGAGCCUCGCGCCCGACCUCGCCGCCUGCGCCUUCGCCGGCUCCGUGGCGGUGGGCCUCGACGUGACCGCGCCCACGCGCUUCCUCGUGCUCAACGCCGCCGAACUCGACGUCGCGCCCGGGGGCGUCAGCUUCGCGUCGCGGGGAUCCGGCCAUGUAAACUAAUCGCUUGCUUGCUCCGGGACCGGGUGUGCUUGUCCUCGUGACGGGCGGGCGUGUGUGGGUGGGAGGCGAGCGCUUGAUCUGCUCGUGCCGGAUUGGGUGUUUAGGGGUUUAGAUGCGGGGGAUUUGAGCUGUCUGCUAGGGUUAUGAGAAGGCACCUGCUAUGCUACCAUUCGCUUAAACUUUUGAUCUAUUCGGGCGAACUUCGGGUCCAGCAUUGUGUACCAAUCGAGGGAACCGGAUCGAUGUCUUCAGAAGCGUAGAAAUUAAAUCGGACACAUGGGUAGUUGUGUGAUCCAAGCUUGUAGUUAUUAGUGCUGUAGCUCGUCAGUUCGUUGAACUUCAUGGUUCCGCAAUGUUGCAAAUUGCGGGCUAUAGAAUUUAGCGGAGUGCUCCCGAAAAAGCAAUAGACAUUAUAGCGCAGCUAUAGCGGAAGCUACGACCUUUAGCUGUAUGCAAAAAACUAGCAAGAUUUAGACUUAAACAUUAUUAAUUUCAUGAAUUUCAGUUCAUAUUUCAUAAGUAUAUGCAGGCAUAAGUUCAAACAUAAGCAAAUAAGUCACAACUCACAAGACAAGUCAUAAAUCAUAACUCGUAGUUCAUAAAUCACAAGUAUAUAAGUUCGUAGAUCAACCAUAGCGCUGUUAGCGGUGCUAGACUAUUGAAUUUAGCGGGGCUAUUUCACACUUUAGCGGAGUUAGCAGCAUUAGCGGUAGUAUUUGCAAUAUCGUCGGGCAUCUGUCUUAAAAAGCUAUAGCGGGCUAUUUGCAACAUUGUGGUUCUGUGAUCAGAAUUUUUUGGAUUUACUCGGGGUUGCAUUUUUCCUACAAUUCCCCAGCACUUUCCUCUGUAGUUGCUAUUAAUCGCGUAUUUGUGUUGUCACCUGCAUCAGGUGCUGCAACCCGUGGAGGUCACCAACGUGCCGGAAGAUGAGAUCCUGAUUAUUUGCUUCAGUGAGGCGCUUCCUGUUGGGGAGGGAACUUUGAACAUUGCAUUCAAGGGCACUCUGAAUGAUAAGAUGCACGGAUUCUACAGAAGGUAAUUGUUUUUGUAGUGUUAACUUUAUAAUUUUAUAAAUGUAGCAACAUAUUCACAGCGAUUUUUUUUUUGUUUAUAGUGUGUACGAGCUCAAUGGGGAGAAGAAGAACAUGGCUGUAACACAGUUUGAGCCCGCUGAUGCAAGGCGCUGCUUCCCGUGUUGGGAUGAGCCUGCUUUCAAGGUAUACUGCUUUGAUCUUUUACUUGCAUUGCAUUCCAUAAGCCCCAUUCAAGGUUCCCUGCUUCUUUUUCUCUCUUAUUCCGGUGUUACCUUAUGUUUUCUUUUGGUUCCGUUGCAUGGGGAAGAUGUGUAUAUAGCCUUGCAUGGAAAUUAUGAACAAGCUCAAUGCAUCGUAGUGUUAAGCACAAAAGGUUGAAACAAAAUCUAUUCUCUGCAUAGUCAUAUAUCUGCUUAUGCAGAUUGAUAUUCCUUGUAGUUGUCCCUUCAUCGAGUCUAUGUGUAAUUGGCACAGAAGGAACUUUCAUGGCUUUGUAUUACAUGGCAAACAUUAUUUUAUGUGUAAUCAUUUCUUCCUCCCUGCAGGCUGUAUUCAAAAUUACUCUAGAAGUUCCUUCUGAGACUGUUGCUUUGUCAAAUAUGCCAGUAAUUGAAGAGAAGGUCAAUGGUCCUACCAAAGUAGUCUAUUUCCAAGAAUCUCCAAUAAUGUCAACAUACCUAGUGGCUGUUAUUGUUGGCAUUUUUGACUACGUGGAAGCUUUCACCACAGAUGGUACUGUAACUUCAUUGUCACAUUAACAUUCAUCUCUUUAUCUUUCAUCUUAAGUUGGUUCAUGCCUUAAAAGUUGACUAAUCUCCACAUUCCUUUGCAGGUACUAGGGUCCGUGUUUACACACAAGUGGGUAAGAGUGCCCAGGGAAAAUUUGCUCUAGAGGUUGCCCUGAAGACAUUGGUCCUCUUCAAGGAGUAAUUUUCUUACAAUCCUUGUUAUUUAUUGGAAAGAUAGCCUACAUUUUUGUUGCAGUGCUCAUGAGAUGCAUAGUUUCUUUAGUCUGAUAAUGUUAUUUUGGAAUUUUGAUACUGAUCCUGACCAACAUGCAAAUAAUUAUGUUCUAUAGGUUGAUUGGUUUUAUUACAUUCUGGGCAUGUAUGUGAAAUUGCGAAUGCAUUCCAUUGAAGGUUUUAUUUCUUGAUAUCAAGUAUAGUUGCAUCAUGGCUCAGCUCAUUUCUGGAUGUGAUGGAUUUUAGAGCGGGCAUUUACAUGUUCCAGUAUUGAUCAUGCAAUGUUGCAAUAUUAUUGACCUUCCCAAAAUGGGAUCCGUGGAUUAAGGCCUUCCCAAAUUUGUAGAAGAUGUUUUGUGCUUUGAUCAUUAGCGUUAUGCCCCUUCCAAAACCUUUCAAAGAUGUUUUGUGCUUUGAUCAUGAUAUGUCAAUGUUAUGCCCCUUCCAAAACCUUUCAAAGUACAUCAGACUCCGUAAAUUUGAUGAUCUUUUGAGGCAUCCACGUCUUAUCCUCUGCUUGUUUACUGUCACACAACUGAAGCUCUCUUUAUGGUUUCAGCUGAUGAUGAAUUCUCUAUGUUGGCAGGUAUUUUGCUGUGCCAUACCCUCUUCCCAAAAUGGACAUGAUUGCUAUUCCUGAUUUUGCAUCCGGAGCAAUGGAGAACUAUGGCUUGGUUACAUACCGUGAAACAGCGUUGCUAUUUGAUGAGAAACACUCUGCAGCUGCGAAUAAACAACGGGUUGGGCACUAGUCUCAAUUGUUUGUACUUUCCUGGUAAUAUGGUCCACCGUCGUAAUUAGGCAUUUUUCAUGACACAUCAACCCAUUUGAAUUGGCCAUAGUGGGCAAUGCUGAACUUGAUUAUGCAACUAAUAUAUUUUACCAACCAAUUUAAUAGCAAUUACUGCAGAAGGCUGUUAUAAUAUUUUGUAGUGGUUUGAUUCAGAAAUGCAGUAGCUAUUUGAUUGUCAUGUGCUGUCACACCAACCUAACAUUUUUUUUUCCAUUCUUGUCUAUCCUCUCUGCAGGUUGCAGUUGUUGUAGCACAUGAAUUAGCUCAUCAAUGGUUUGGAAAUCUUGUGACAAUGGAGUGGUGGACACACCUGUGGCUUAAUGAGGGUUUUGCAACAUGGGUAAUAAACUAGAACAAAUGUAGUAGUUGAAAAGCUCCAUAUUUGUAUGUUGCCCAUAUGAUGCUUUUCCCCCCACUGCAGGUGUCUUACUUAGCUGCAGAUCAGUUCUUUCCUGAAUGGAAUGUUUGGACUCAAUUUCUGGAGGAAUCUACAACAGGUUUUAAGUUGGAUGCUCUUGCAGGAUCACAUCCAAUUGAGGUAACAAAAGUUCUAUUACUCCUUAUGUGCAAUGCUAUGACUAUCUUGUGGGAUUUUGCAGAGUAUUACAUUCUAAGUGAAUUUGGAGGUCUGAUACAUGAAUUUGAGGGUUCGAUUGCUUGAAUGCUUAUCUAAUUUGACCAGUCUAGAAAAUCAAUACGAUUGACCUUAUAUUCCCUACACCUUUAGUGGCAAAACAAAAGAUGACAAUUGGGACUGAAGUUGGGAUACACCCAAAAAAGUUAAUGUUAUAUGGAAGUUUUGAAAUGUGGUUAACCUGGUACCUGCUAGACUCUAGCAUAAUUUAGUUUAAUUUUGGUUGUUAUAUAUGUAUAUUAGCAACAUAUUAAGGGGGAUAUCAUAUAUGGUUGUAUAAUGGCAAAUUUUGAUGCCUGUAUCUGUAUGCAGCAUGCAAGUGGAAUUUUCAUGUGGCAAUAGCAUAUUUAUAACCAGUCAAAACAAUCUGAUUUGACUGGAGAUUUGAGAAUGAAAAUAAAAAAACUCAACAGGUUCCUACAUUUCUAGUAUUUUUUGGAAAGUGUGUUAUGGUGUUACAGUUGUUCUGAAAGUUGAUAACCGUUAUUUGUGCAGACUUGGGGCACACUACUAAACAGCGAUCACACUCUAAAUGGCACAAUCAAUGCAUGUUUAAAAUUUGCCUUAGAUAUCUGCUGCAUUUAUCACAUGGCUUACAAAUCUAUUAUUUUCAGGUGGACAUAAAUCAUGUUGAUGAAAUAGAUGAGAUAUUUGACGCUAUAAGCUAUAGGAAAGGAGCUUCUGUCAUCCGGAUGCUGCAAAGCUAUCUUGGGGCUGAGGUCUUUCAGGUUUGGUUUGCUUAUUCAUUACUCUCUUCCUUUUUUCCUCAAAAAAUUGUACAGUUUGAAGCAAUGAUAUGGUAAUUGUUAUGUGGUUGAAACAUAAUGUGACCUGGCUCUAUGGUUAGUUUACUUUUGAAAUGCAGCUUAGCUUUUUUUUUUUAGAUAAUGGAAGCAAUCAUCGGCCCCCUGCACAUGAGCUUUGUUAAGAGUUCAAUAUGUUUUCUCUUACUUUAUAUACUUUGACAAUUGGGCGACAUGCUAGACAUAGUCUUAAUUGCAUUAAUGUUAUUCUUUGAGAACACAUUUGUUGGAAAAUGCAAAUAGCUUUUUAAUUGGUUGUCACUUGUCAAUGAGACUUUUUUUUUGUUGAAAAUAUCAAUGGAAAUAUCUUUUCAGUGGUAACCAGAAGCUACCCCUUUGUUCUUUUUGCUAGAAAUCUUUGGCUGCAUACAUCAAAAGAUUUGCGUAUUCAAAUGCAAAGACAGAAGAUUUGUGGGCUGCCCUUGAAGAGGGGUCUGGUGAACCAGUUAGAACAUUAAUGCAUUCAUGGACAAAACAGCAAGGUUAUCCUGUUGUCAGUGUGAAAUUCAAGGAUGGAAAGUUACAGCUGGAGCAGGUAUGUUGUAGGCUAAUUUUUCUGGAGACUUGUCUGCAUAAUCAUGUAAACUUUGCAAGUUCUUUUCUCAAUUUAUAAGAUCAAAUUUAGUUAUUGGUUAGAGGCUUUCUGAAAACCUUCUGCUCUUGUUUCUUGCAGACACAGUUUCUUUCAAGUGGGUCCACAGGAGUUGGGCAAUGGGUGGUUCCUAUCACACUAUGUUGCUGUUCAUACUCACGCCAAGAGAAAUUCCUUUUUCAUGGGAAACAAGAAGAUUUUGGUCUGUGCGGGCUCAUGGAAUGCAAACAGAAAGACGACUUCUGGAUUAAACUUAAUGUCAACCAGACCAGCUUCUACAGAGUGAGCUAUGAUGAGGAACUUGCAUCCCGACUUCGAUAUGCAAUUGAAACCAAUAAAUUGAGUGCAGCAGACAGAUAUGGUAAAUUCUCUCAAUAUCUUUUUUUUCAAUUGUAUUGGUCUUACCCCAUCCACAUGUUCUUACAUUGUUAUUGUUUAAUACAGGUGUACUUGAUGAUGCUUAUGCUCUCUGUAUGGCUGGCAAACAAAAGCUAGUCUCCUUGCUGCAUUUGAUUGCUGCGUUCAAGGAUGAGACUGAGUAUACUGUGCUUGCACACGUAAUCACGGUAUGUUCUUUCUACUUGAAAAGUCCUUUCAUAUACUUGGAUUUUUUUCUAAGCAAUUUAAACUAUUUGGCUCUAUAGACAAGUCUGAACAUUGCCGAGAUGAUUGCUGUUGCUGCUCCAGAGGAAUUGGGUAAUCUGAAGAAGUUCCUAAUUGACUUCCUCGAGCCGUUUGCGCAGUAAGUAUAUUGCUCUAUUACUGGAAAAACAUUUUAUACUUGAGAUCUUGCCUAACAUGUCAGAAAUCAUUUGCAGGAAACUUGGCUGGGAUGCUAAGAGUGGUGAGGGCCACCUGAAUGCUUUGUUAAGAGGUACCCUCUUAACUGCUCUUGCAGAACUCGGCCAUGAGGCUACCAUAAAUGAAGCUGUUCGUAGAUUUAAUGUCUAUCUCGAAGACAGAGAGACACCACUCCUCCCUCCAGAUGUUCGAAAGGUUAGCAUCUUAACGGAAUUUAAGUUGUAUUUAACUAUUCAUAGCUAACUGCGAAAAGGUCCAGUCUGCUUAUUGAUCCUGUUUUGUUUUGUAGGCUGCAUAUGUUGCUUUGAUGCAGACAGUGAACAAAUCGAACAAGACUGGCUAUGAAUCACUCUUGAAGGUAUACAGAGAAAGUGAUCUAAGCCAGGAGAAAGUUCGCGUGUUAGGUAGGGUUUUCUUAUACCAUUUGAAAGUGAGCUUGUAGUUUUUGGACCUCCCUAAGUUUCUGACGCUCUUCCUUGUAGGUUCUUUGGCAUCAUGCCCUGACCCUGUUGUUGUUCGUGAAGCAUUGGACUUCAUACUAUCGCCUGAGGCAUGUGAUUAUUCUUCUUUUUUGGUCUAAUAUUUCAUCAGUGACAUGGCCCUGUGUGUUCCACAUGACAUGGCUAAACUUUGUUUCAUCUUUACCGGAAUAACUCAUGGUGUAUUGGCACACGCAGGUAAGGAAUCAGGACGCGAUAUUUUUGCUUAGAGGGGUGUGUUCAGGGGCACACGAGGUGGCAUGGCAAUGGCUGAAGGUACUCACCGACGUCCUUAUUUUUCCAUGGUUAGCUUUGCAACUUUUUUUGUCCUAUAUGCUAACUCCAUGACGACUAUGAUUUCAGGAAAAUUGGGACUACAUAUUGGGAGCUUACUCUGGAACUCUGCUCACCUACUUCGUCAACAUAACUGUCUCACCGGUACGCUGGAUAAUCUACCUGCAGCUCAUCUCUCUUGUAAGCCCAUCCGCAUUAGCGUUCUGACACAUCGCGAAACAUUGUUUCAGCUUGCCACUGAUGAAAAGGGUGAUGAGGCGGAGGAGUUUUUCAAGAGCAGAACCAAGGCGAGCAUCGCCAGGACUGUUAAGCAGAGCAUCGAGAGAGUGAGGAUCAAUGCCCAGUGGGUCAAGAGCAUCAAGGGCGAGGCCGACCUCAGCAAUGUCAUCAAGGCGCUCGCUCACAAGAACUGAGGCAAGAUGGCCACUUUCCUUUUCUGUGCCCUUGUAGUGUCGACGGGGAUGUAAGUUGUCGGAUUCAGAAGUGGAUUGAUAGAAUGGAUUAAUAAAGGGCUACUGAUUCGACUUAUUGCUUCUUGUCCGCCUUCUGCGUUGAUUGCUGCGAACUGUUUUUUUAAGGGGGUAUUUGGGUGCUAAAAUUUAGCAGUGUCACAUCGGAUGUUCGGAUACUAAUUAGGACUAAACAUGAGCUAAUUAUAAAACUAAUUGCAGAAUCCUGUGCUAAUUCGCGAGACGAAUCUAUUAAGCCUAAUUAAUCUAUCAUUAGCAAAUGGUCAUUGUAGCACCACAUUGUCAAAUUAUGGACUAAUUAGGCUUAAUAAAUUCGUCUCGUGAAUUAGACUCCAUCUGUGCAAUUAGUUUUGUAAUUAGCCUAUGUUUAAUACUCUUAAUUAGUAUCAAACAUCCGAUGUGAAUUCUAGAUGAAAUGCGCUGAAUGAAUCUCGGCUGUUUUUUUAAGUCAUUUUGGCGAAAGGCAUUCUGUAUGCCUUCACAGCAGCUGCAUUUCACGCCUGAAUUAUGGUUUAAAUGCGCUGAAUGCAUCGAGUGUAUCCAGAAACCAGAAUUGAGGCACAACUCUGGAUAGAUAUGUCAGCCUAUUAUUUUAUGGCCACAUAUCACUCAAGGAGUGAAGGUUGUCAUUUACUCAGAACCCACUUAGGCUUCGUUUGGCAGCUGUGGGGCACAAAUCACGUGUGAAACAGAUUGAUUGGGUGGAACCCCUCCUCCCACCGAAUCCCUCCCUGACCGGAGGUUUAACCCCUGGCAUAUAAUUAUAUCAUUUGGGAUGGUUUGGAUUGACGUGGGUUGACCCAUGAGAUCGCUAUGUACGUACGCCAUGCAAGAAAGGAAGCUGUGAUUCGAUACCUCUACGCCAAGAAAUAUGAAAGAAAAAAAGGUUAAAACUAAUGAGAACAAAAAUUCAAAAACAUAUCACAAUUUUUUUAAUAAAAAUCAUAGAUAAUCAGAAAACUUGAAAACCGCACGUCAAAAUGCAAUGUGUAUGACUCCAUUUCAAACAGAAGAAAACUUGAUCUAAACAUGAUAGCAGAAUAGGACAACCUCUCAUAGCAGAAUGUUCAGACGUAACAGUACAGCUUACAUAAAGUUGCAAGCUAGAUCGUAUAUUGGAAAAAAUCAUAGCUGCCGGUCUUGAAAUCAGUACAUCUAACCCACUUCUCUAGAGUAUGAUAGCUUUCACAAUCAUCUUCCACAGGUUUUCAACUUCAACGUAUAUCUUUCACAGAUUUAAAGUUGAGUACAUAGUAACAGAAACAUGCAUCAGUAGGACCGUCGAAUUUACACUAUGCUAGUUUUUUUUAGACCAUUUACACUAUGCUAUUUAGGGACCCACCGUACCUCCACAAAACUGCACAGAGAGUCUGUAGGAUCAGCGGAUUACAGUGCCUA